rnacentral:lncRNA from 1 species
UUUUUUUUUUUUUUUGGAUAAUUGAACAACAUAAAACUUGAUUAGCCUUGUUAUCAAAAUGUUGACCCGACAAUUGGAUGCUAAGAUUUCCAAAUCUUACGCCUCAUUAGAAUAUGUCUAGAGAUCAAUCUACCUUAUGCCAAACUCUCUUUGGCCAAAAGUUCUAGCGAUUGCCUAGGUCUCCGGUAGCCGUCCAUCGUAAGAGGUUGUUAAGACCAUCCAACCCAUCUUCAGUUUUUACUUCAUAAAUAAAGUAAAAAAUAAUGUAAAUAAUGUUUCAUCUUCAACCUUACUUUAUUUUCUAUCUCAUUUUUACCUCAAUUCCAUUUUUGGAGAUAUGAAUAAUAUUCUCCCAAAUAUGAGAGAAUACUAUUCAUAUCUCCAAAAUUGGAGAUGAAAAUGAGAUAUGAUUUAAAGAGAAUGAGGGAAGAAAUAAGGGAAAAAAUGAAGUUUGGAUGUGGGUUGGAGAUGCCCUAAGAGAGGCAUACCUAUUAGGAAGAAGAUAUGUCCUAGGAUCUAUCUAAAUUUUCAAUUUUAUUUAUAAUAGAGUAAAUUAUACGAAUGUCCCUAUCAUAUGAGCUAAUUUGUGCGUUUGGUUCCCAAUUUUUAUUUAUACUAUAUUAUAUUAUAUCAUAUAUAUAUAUAUAUAUAUAUAUAUAACUCAGAAGGUCCCUAAGGUGUAUUUUUGUUACACGUUUGGUCCUUACCAGACAUAAAAUAACUAAGUACCCUUCUUUAUUUAUUUUUUUAAUUUUUUUAAUGGUAGUUUGUUAUUUAUUUAUUAAAUAAAUCUAUUUGAUAAAUAAAGUGGGUAUCACUCCUACCCUUCCCAUCACUCUUCUCGUCGUCUCUUUAGUUUACCAAAUCUCGAUCUCUCUCUCUUUUCUUUAACUAUAUCGGAAACCAAACCAAGAGACAUCAAAAUUCUCCUUCGCCGACGACCUUACCCUUGCCAGCGACCCUUAUCUCCCUCCUUUCCAUCUUUGAGAACUCUAUACACCUUUAAACGAUCUUCUUGUCAACGAGAAUCUCAUCUACAAACGGGUGUUGGUACAUGGUUUUGUCAUAGAAUCACAGUGGGGAAUCAACAAACUUUCUGGAACACCAAUGAACCAGAUGCACCCAUAAAUGAUUACAUGAUAUCUUUCAGUUAUUGCAGGUUUGAGAAUCGAUUUCAGUAGAACGACUUCUCACAGAUAAGGGUCAUCUGAAAAUCAUGAAAGGCAUUGUUUAUGAAUCGGAAGGGGAUCGAUAUACCCUAGCCGUCGACCACCAUCGUACCACCGACCUCCAUUAAACUUUUCUCUUCUACCCUUCCUACUAUUAGACUGUAACGCCCGGAUCCUGGUAUGUAUUUUAAACCAAAUUAUUCAUUUUUGCAAAGGGACUCAACGAGUUGGAGGCCCCAAACUCGUCGAGUAGAAAUGGAAUUUGGACGCGAGACUUGAAGUAUACUCAACGAGUAGGGCUGCCAGAGUGAAACCCUAAUUUUUAGGGUUUGCACCCUAUUUAAGCACCUUAACCUCCAAAUGGUGGCCUCAUUUGCAGCCUCCAUCACCCCAAACCUAGCUAUGAAACCCUAAUACGUUUUUGAGUGUUUUGAGCCAUUCUUGGUACUUUCUUGAGGUUUUGAAGAAGAUGAGACUUGAGGAAAGAGCCAUGAAGUGAAGGAGAAGAGUAUAUCCAGAAGUAGAGCUUCAUUUCUGGUUUACCUGAGGUAUAAAGCUCUUACCUUGCUUAUUGAGUGUUUAGAUCUAGUUUUAGGGCUCUUUCUCGAUGUGUUGGUUCAAUAAUGGUGGCCUUUAGGAUUCGGAUGACCCUUGUGGAAAAAACCUUCAUAUCUAGAGUCGUUGAGGGACUCCAUGGCUAUAAAGUUGCCAACUUUAUGGCCAUGGGAGUCCUAUGCAACUUGUGAACCACCUUUAGGGCCUUUUGAGCUAAAUAACCUAUGCAUGGACGUAAAGUUAGCAAAUUUACGUGGUAACUUGGUCCUAGGGACUAGAUCUAUGGUUUGGAAGCAUUGAACCCGGCUGGAAACGACUAAAUGAGUUUAGACUUUGGGGGACUCGACAAGUUGUUCAUACAACUCGGCGAGUUAGGUCGGGGUCCCCCAACCUUUUUUGUUACUGGGAAAACUCGUCGAGUCUAGGAGAUGACUAGUCUAGGAGAUGACUCAACGAGUUGGAUAAGGCUUUUGGGUCGGAAGAGAGUUCAAGGAGGAACUCGGCGAGUUGGGAGUGGAAUGUCCCGACUCUGUUAUGAGGAAGAACUUGACGAGUUCAUGAAAGAACUCGACAAGUAGGAUCGAGAUUUCCAAAUUUUUAUGGAUCAUGUAACUCGACGAGUUGAUGGACCAACUUGGCGAGUUGAGUUAACCAAGAUGUUGACUUUGACCAGGAUGUUGACUUUGACUUUGACCUUUGACCAGAGUUGAUCCUUAAAAGGUUUAUGAGUAUGAAAGAGUAAUUAAAAGAGUUUUUAUGUGUAGGAGUUUGAGGAGAGUUGAUUUCCAGAGCCGAGGAUAGUUCAGCUACUUCACGACAUUGAGGUGAGUUACCUUCCAGUAGAAGUGGGUCUAAGGCACCAAUAUCGGCCCACUGGUAGGCGAUUAUAGUUGAGAUGACUGUCUUUGUAAUAAUUGUUUGGUAUGCCACUAUCUAUUGUGCUUUAUGUGCUAGUAUGCUAUGUUGCUAUGUGGUAGUUGUAGGGGUGAAAUAGUCCCCGAUUAUCGGUUGAGAGAGACCGAAGGGCGAAGGGGAGGCCAGCACCCAGAUAUGCUAAGAUGUAUAUGGUUUAUAUGUUUAUGCUUGUAUAUUAUGUGGUAGAGGUAGGGGUGAAAUAGUCCCCAGUUACCGGUUGAAAGAUACCAAAGGAGAGACCAACACCCAGAUAUGUUAGGUUGUAUAUAAUUUAUAUGUUUAUGCUAGGAUAUUAUGUGGUAGAGGUAAGGGUGAAAUAGUCCCAAGUUACGGUUGAAAGAGACCAAAGGGGAGGCCAACACCCAAAUAUGUUAGGCGGUUACCGGUUGAAAGAGACCGAAGGGGAGGCCAACACCCAGAUAUGCUAGGUAGUUACCGGUUGAAAGAGACCAAAGGGGAAGCCAGCAUCCAGAUAUGCUAGGCGUUAUGUGAUUAUAUGGUAUGUGGUAUAAUGGGGGAACUCACUAAGCUUUGUGUUUACGGUUUUCAGUUUUUGUUUCAGGUCUUCUUCAAAGGGAAAGGAGUUGGCACGGUAGCAGCACAUCACACACACGAUUUUCCGCAUAUGAGAUUCUUGAGAUUUGUAGUCUAACAUUAUUACUAUCUUAUGACACACUUUUGAAACAUAUGAUCUAUGGUUUUUAUGAAAUAAGAUAACUUGAUGAGGUUUUCUAUAAAUUGUUUUAUGAAUCAUUAAAUAAAGUUUUUGGUUUUAAAUUUUGGGAUGUUAGAUAGACCAUCUUCCAUAUUUCUUGCUACUUCAUCGAUCCUUUUGGCAUAUGAGUCUCAAAAAUCAAGAUUAUAAACAUUUUAAAAAUAGAAAACUUAGAAAAAAAAUAUAACUAACAACCAUUUGCUUCUUAUAUGUUGUCAAAUAUAUAGGGUUAAAUAUAAUAUAUAAUUUUUAUCAAAAAUUAAGAACUACCUUAGAAAAAAUAGAAAACUUAUGUUAAAUUUGUCUUUUUUUUAAAUGUCUUAAAAACCCAUUUUAAAAGGAGAAAAAAAUAAGUUACUAACAACUAUUUGCUUCUUAUAUGUUGUCGAAUGUAUAAGGUUAAAUAUAAUAUAUAGUUUUAUCAAACAAUAAGGUAUCAAUACACUAAUAAUCAACUAGUUCUUUUAUUAAAUUGUACAGUUUUUUCAGUAAUAUUCAGUCAUUUUUUAUUAAAUUUUAAUCGGUGGUACCUAAUCGGUUUUAAUAUGUUGAUCUGAUUGGUCCAAUUUUUUUAAGGUAUACGGCCCAACCCGACCCAACCUCCCACAAGUGUUGUUGAUUUUUUUAUCGGUUUCAUUUUAUUUGGGAAUCAUAUAAUUUUUUGUUGUAGAUUCGUUACUGAUUGUUAGAGUUGUAAAUGGUGAUUACAUAUGUUAAUAUCUUGUCCCUCAAUAACUUGUCCCCGAUCUCUCCUUGAGAAGGAAAACAAUGUUUGAUGUGGUUACAAUCUUCCUUGGUUAGUGACCGCUUGAAGACAUUGAACCGGUUGCAAGGGUCAAAGCACGUCAAACAAUAUUUUGAUGCGGUUACUAUUGCAUUAUUUUAGGGUAUGUGUGGAUUCCAAACAAGACGUUUUCGUAUCUUUUACAAUAAGGAAGGACGUUAUGUUUCAUAAUAUUUUGUUGCAUUCUCUUUCUUGGAUUUAUGUAUGUGUAAAAAAGAUGGCGAUUUUGACUUUUAAGAAAAACUAGUAUUAUAUUUUUUUUUUCUAAUUUGUUAGUUUCUUUUUAUUAAAACUUUUGAUUGAUACCGGUUAACAAAAUAACGUUCUCAACUCAUAAAAGUUUUGGUGUAACGUAAUAAUAUCGGAAAACGAAAUGAUCAAAGAAGUCUUAGAAAUAGGAACCAAAAUUAUAAUGCGAGUAUAUUUUACAUAUAUCUACACAUACAAUUGAUCAUAGUUAAAACCAGUAAGUAACAAGAAGGGUUUUGAGUGAAGUUAAACAAGGGACAUGAUCACAUGAUCAUCAUAAAAUAAGAAAGGAACAUAUACACAAAUACAAAACUAGACAUGAAGGAGCCAUCACAUCCCGUACCCAUUUCUUUGUACUCUCUAGCGUCAAAUAUUUGAAGACAAAGGAAGAGACAAAACUCAAAAAGAAAGAGGAGGCACAAAUAAGUGGACCGGUGUAGUGAUAAGAUGAGCUCCGGUCCAAACGGUCGGGCAUUAGAUGUAGAUUUAGGUAUCCAUGUGUAGUCUAUUUUAUAUUUAUUUAAAUUAUUUCAUUUUUAAUAUUACAUCUUUAUAUAAAGAGAUUUAACCUUUUAUGGGUGAGGUGGGUCUUUAUGUUUUGGUUUUAUUAGACAUAUCUUAAAAUUGGACCCCAUGGGGUGAGGUGGGUUGGUUCUUAGACACAAUCAAUCUUAUUUUAUACUCUAAUAUAAUUGUAUACUCUAAUAUUCACAUAUUAUUUUAUUUUUCAAAACAUUAUUAGAUUACAAAAGCACACAAAUCAAAAACUAAUAUUUUUUGUGACCCAUUGAUCAAUAGUUUUAAUAAACUUUUACACAUUGGUAUGAUAACCUAAUAUGAAUUUGAAUUUGCAAACAUUGGAAAAGGGCAAACCUAAUAAUUUGGCAAGAACCCCACCAAUGAUGCAACAAAACCAAACCUUAUGGACCAACCAUGGCACCAUAAAUGAGAACCCACUAGCCAUGCCUCACUUGUUUUGGCUUGUUUGUUUUUAUUACUAUUUUAUUGGGGGAAAUCAUUCAUGCAAAGGAUGAUUAAUGGUGGAACCAAUGGCUCCCACCAUAGAUGCUAAUUCACAUUGCAAUACAAAUAGACAUGACAUGUACUAUUUGGCCCCAUGCCCUAAAUUUCUCGAGUAAUUUCACUAGUAAUUAUAGAGUUUUAUUACUUUUAUAGUUUGGUGGUAGAUUUGACCUGCCAGCUAUAUUCAUUUUAGGUACAUGUAUGUUUUUUCUGUGUGAUAAUGAAUAAUUUGUUCAAAAAUAGGUGCUUUUUAAAAAAAGAAAAGCUAUAUGUUAUCACUAAGCUUUUUUGUGUCUAGGAAAAAAACAAUUACUUGAAACAAUUAACCCCUUUAAAUUUGUCAAAAGUAGAGUUAAUAUUUAUGAGAUUAAUGAAUAAUUGAAUAAUGAUAAAUAUCAAUUUCUCUUUGAAUACAAUACAUCAUGUUGACUGAUAAAUUGACUACUCAUUAUCGGUUGAAAAUUGUUUUGGAAAUAUAUUUUUAUUUGUAAAUAUUAUAAAAUUAUAAAAUAUUAAAAUAAUAGUUGAUGACAAGCUAUAAAUUAUAAAACUGUUAAUUAAAAAUAUCUGAUAAAAUAAUGAUAUAUAAUUACGAAUAUAUGAUGUAAAUAAUACAUUAUUAAAAUUAAAAAUAAAUUAAGUGGGUAACAAAUAUUGACAGUGUAAGAGAAUUUAGUAAACUUUAAGCUCAAUCUAGUACCAUAACUUUUUUUAUGUAAUGAACAAUCAAAGUGUUUCCGAAUUUGAUAUAAAAUUGCAAAUCUAUGAAACGUUUAAAUAUAAGUUUGAUUGCAUAGAAAGUGAAUUAAAAUAUUAAGUAUUUAACAUAAAAUAUGAAUAAAGAAACAUUUAACCGAAAGGACCACACAAUUAAAAAAGUAUAUAAAAGUUGUAGCUUAACAAAAGACUUCCUUUUCCCGAUUUACAAUCAAGUAAUUUUUUAGUAAAAUCAAUAAGAAAACAUCAAUAAAUAACAUAACAUAUUAAACUUUGGGGAUAAUCAUAAAAAUAAACAUUAUAUUACAUAUUGUUGUGUUGGGGAUUUGUGGCUAACAUUUUCUCAUAUUCAAAGUAGACAUGUUGCUUAAGAUCUUGAGUAAAAUCUUGAUCAAAAUCUUAUUCAAGGUCAUGAAGAGUACUAAAUUAAUUUAUUAUUCUAUCUUUUAUUCUAUAGUAUGACUUAGAUGCUGAAUAUGCCACCAAAGACUUGGUCAAAUCGAAAUUAUAUUAGAAACGUGAAGAAAAGAUUUGGUCAUUAGAAAAUCAAUGAUAAGGGAAGAAGAGACGAUAAUACCAAGAUUAGGGAUUUAGUUUAGAAACUUUAUGUAUAAAUAGAGAGUUGAACACACACAAAACUAAAAAAAAAAAUACACAACAAACUCACUACUAAUAACGUACACUAGUUACCAUUCUCUGCUCUCUCUACACCAACUGUUGUUUUUAUAACUUUUUAUAUUAAUUAUUAAUUAAAAUAUUAGAGAUAGUCGGAUAUUUUCGGUUCCAAAAUCAAGAGUUUUUCUCAUAUAUCUCGAACGUCACAUCUUGAAUGUUUACUUUUAUAUUUUAUAUAUUUCAGAUAUCUUUAAUAUUCUACCCAUCUUCAAGAUAUUAACAUUUUCAACGUCUUAAAUUUUUUUUUUUUUAGUUUUUCUUCCUCAAGUACUUAAACAAAACGCCAUGUCUCACAUACUAUUUUAGUUACAAAAUUAUUAAGUAGAUUUUUGACAAAACACAUAUGAAGAAAAUUCAAUUUUUAGCAUUUAUGGAAAUAACUACCUAUGUUCCAUAAUUUAGGAUUUCAAUUAUGUUUUUUUCUUUGAACUAAAUAUUUUAGAAGCUCUUUUUACCUUUAAAUUUUAAAAUAUUUAAUAUAAUUGUUUGUUUUUCCAAUUAAAUGACUAAUGCAUUUAUUUAGCUCGUUUUGAAUAUCCAUUUUGUUAGAUUUGUGCAUAAAGUAAAAUAACAUUUUGAAAUUUAAAAAAUUUUCAUUGGAUUUCACAUAUUCUUUGAAAUUUCAAUAUACCUUUUAAAUCAAGAAUUAAUAUAACAUAUAAUUAUAAAAUUAUAUCGAAAUAAAUUUGAUGUAAUAUUUUUUGUAAAAAUUUCUUCANNNNNNNNNNNNNNNNNNNNNNNNNNNNNNNNNNNNNNNNNNNNNNNNNNNNNNNNNNNNNNNNNNNNNNNNNNNNNNNNNNNNNNNNNNNNNNNNNNNNNNNNNNNNNNNNNNNNNNNNNNNNNNNNNNNNNNNNNNNNNNNNNNNNNNNNNNNNNNNNNNNNNNNNNNNNNNUAUAUAUAUAUAUAUAUAAAAGUUGUAUAUUUAUGAUCGGUUUAUUUUUGUGGUAAUCCCAAAACUUUUUUAUGCUAAAACAUAUUAAAUUCAUGGAGAACACAUGUUAAAGUUACAUGGCGUGUCAAUCAUCAUCACCAAAACCCUUCAUAAGUUUUUCUAACAAAUUCCCCUUUCUCUUUCUUAUCUUUUCACCAUCACACCCCUCCCCUUCCUUCUUCAUAUCAACAUCUAUAUAUAUAAUGGCACCACGUAUCUCACCUCAUUCUCUCUCAAUCUCUCUCUCUCGACUCUUCCAUCUCUUCUCCGAUCUCCAUCAAAACAUAACAACAAAACAUCUUUUCAUCUUCUUCCUCCGACGCCAUUAACGUUCAUAUCCCCAUUUCUUCCAUCAAAUUUGACAUUUCCAAUCAGUAAUGGGGUUCCCAGUUGGUUACACAGACCUCUUCCUCCCCAAAGUCCUCCUCCACAUCCUUACUCUUCUGGGUUUCAUCCGUAAGCUCAUUUCCUUCAUUUUCAGAUUCGUUGGUCUCGGGGAGUUUCUCGAACCCGAUUUCUCAACAGACCCGACCCGGAACGAACCAGUCACGCAGUUCCAUUCCGUUUCCGCUGUCCUCAUCCGUGAGCUCCUCCCGGUGGUGAAGUUCUCAGAGCUAGUGGAUCCGCCUGAGAGCUGUGCAGUUUGUUUGUAUGAGUUCGACGCCGGCGACGAGAUCCGGCGACUUACCAAUUGCCGACACAUAUUCCACCGGUGCUGUCUCGACCGGUGGAUGGACCAUGAUCAGAAAACUUGCCCGCUUUGUCGGACUCCAUUUAUACCCGAUGAUUUACAGGAUUCGUUUAACGAACGGUUAUGGGCGGCGUCGGGAAUCGCCGAUUACUAUGGCGAUUCAUCGCUGGUUAGUGGUUCAUAAUAUAAAUAGUGAUACAAAAUUGUUUUUAGUUUUGGUGGAUUAGCUUAGAGGAUUCAGAGAAUCUUAUGAUGUAUAUUUUGGUUCUACAAAAAGAAGAAGAGAAUCAUAUAUAAUGUAUAGACAAGAGAAUGGAUACACUUGAUGAAAAUUCUUGUUUUUAUAUUUUUGGAGAUGAAUUUAACAAUUUAGAAAAAUAUCUAUCUAUAAUCCCUAUAUAUUUUAAAUGAAAAAUAUACUAUCUAUAUUUUGCUACCAAAUCAAAUGUCUAAUGUAGCCAACACUUGUAUCAAAUCAAGAAAGAAAUUCUAUGUUAUUAAAGCAACAAAUGACUCUUUUAAUGGGGGUGUUUUUUUAGAUAUUCACCACAUGACCAUAUUUGAAAGAUUAAAUAUAUAUCUAGACUAGAUAACUAUAUUUCAUAAACAACUAGAUAACUAUAUUUCAUAAACAACAAACUCGUGAAAUAAAGGUCGUGACAAUAAUGUGAGCUCGUUAAACAUUUGUGAUAUGUAUUUAUAUUGCGCCAUGUUUUAUGUCUUAUUGGUAUUAGAUACUCGUUAAUCACAUUUUGCGAAUUCACGAAGUACAUUAACUUUUCCGACUAUCGAUAGUCCAUGGAUGGAACAAUUUUAGAUAUAAGUAUCUCAAGAUCUCUUUUUGUUUCUCAAGCACUGUUUCGUUUGAAAAGCCAAUGAUGAAUAUCAAGACGAAGAUAGUGAUACUUCAGAUAUUAGAUAUGGCCAAUUAUACAAUUCGUGAAGAUCAUGUUAUGCGUAGAUGUUUUAUACCAAGUUACGAGAGAUGGUUUUCCUUCUCGGUGAACUAUUUUAAUAAUUACGCAAUUCUAAUUUUAUUUGAUUUGUAUUUUUUUUAUUUAGUUCUAUAAAAAAUAAACAAACGGAUUAAAAAUAUCAUUGAAGGGAAAGAAAAAAAAAAACAAUGCAUUAGAAGAGUCUAAUUUAUCACAGCCUAGGGUCGCUCAAGUGUUUACAAACUAAGCAAAGGCUUAGGGCCCCAAAUUCUAAAGGACCUCCAAUUUUAAAUCUUAUUUAUUAAUUCUAGUCAAGAAAGUCUCGAUCAUUCGAUUGUUAGUUUGUUACGCAUGUGUGAGAGAAACAGCGAUUCGAUUUCCAAAUAAACGUAGAAAAAACGCAGUUUUCUGUUGAUUGAUCUGUUCAGGUGUUCUUCUAAGUUCUAAUCUUCUUCCUUCUCGGCUCGACGACUUCUCCUCCUGUCCUCUACUCCUCCAGCCUUUAUUAUAAAAUAUAGUCUGAAAGUGAAACAAAGAAACGCAACAGCUUUCUUUAUUCUUCCUUCCGUUCUCUAAUUCAGAGAUGUGAUUAUCCAUUGUUCAGAGGCUUCAAAAGGACAAGACUGAUGGUUAACUAAAAGUCGGAAACGGUAUAUGUUUCAGUGAUUCCAAUUUCCGUUAUCUGAUAAUCUGGUUAUGAUUAUCUUAGACUUCUAGUUCUAGUUUUGAGUUUUCCUGUUUUCCUGUUUUCCAAUUUCCAUUUCCCUUUUUCCAAUUUCCAUUAUCUAUUCUAGGCAUCAUCCACGUAAGUAGAUUAAUCAGUAAAAUGACGUUGGAAACACUGACAAAUCUUAUUUAUAAAUUCAGAAUAACGACUAUGAAUUGUAAAUACAAAUUACACUAAAAUAAUAUAGAGUGUAAUUGAACUUACAGAGAUUCCUAGACAAAAGUCUUGAAAUUGCACUGGCAGAGUUCCUACUCGAUGGCUACUACUUGUUGGGCACUCAGGGGUAGUAGGGCUUCGUCGGUAUACUAGAAACUACAGUAAAAUGGCAAUAAGUGGAAGAACAUCGGGAGAGAAAGGUCGUAGGGGUGUGAGGACGGAAUCUUAUACUGAGGUGAGUAUUUAUAGCCCGAAAAAGAAAUGCAUGUCGCGCAACCUGUCGGGGCGCACUGCCUAUCCUAUCGGGGGUGGUGAUGUGGCGUUCAUCUAGUGGCGACACGUGUCACAGUCUCAUGGAUUGUCAAUGCGCGUCGUGCAUCUUAUCUGUGCGUGCUGAUUUUUAUAAAAUCUUAGAAAACUUGUAACUUCUUCAUACGAGCUCUGUUAUCAACAAGUUUUAUAUACACGUGUACCUAUCGACGAAAUCUACAGCUUUCAUUUAGAUUUCGUCGGCUAAUUUUGACUUUAUUUUUAAAGUUAUAUUUUUAUAGUCUUAAGGUAUUAAAGUUCAUAAUUCUUUCAUCUUAUGUCCAUUUCUAACUGUCUUUAUAUCGUUGACCUCUUAUCAACGAGAUCUUCAACUAUCGUUUAGAUCAUUUCAGCUAAAAAUCGAUCAAUCUAAAAUUCGAUUUCUGAGCUGUAUACUGUUAUGUUGAAUCUUAGAAAAAAAUCAUAAGUUCCUCUAAUGAAGUCAGAUUUAAACGUUCUCUAUGUGCAUGUUUUCGGUUUAAUGACUACUAUGACUUGCAUUUAGAUCAAUAAGGCUAAAAACCGAUCUAUCUCCAAUUCAUUAUUUACGAUAUCCAUAGCCAUAUCAAGUCGAACACGAAACUCCAACAGAUUAAGCGUUCCAUAUAUCUCUGGAAUCCUUGUCACGAUUACUUCAACUUUCGUCAACAAUAUUCGUCCUAAUUAUUAUUCUUUUUAGACGUGUAUUUUUUUUCUUAUUUUAAUAUUUCGUUAUAAGCAUGUAUACUACAAAUAUUUACACAUUGAACACGUAGUCUUCACAAAAUUUUCAUUUAUUAUAUCGAAUAGGUUACAAUUGUUGAGCCUUACUAUUAUAUAAUCUUAUUAGUUGUCUUGCGAGAAACGUGUGCGUUACAAGAUAUGUGAUGAUUGCAUGUGUUGUUGGCUAUUGUUUGUUUGUUUGUUUCUAUGCAUGUUGUUUGGUUGAGGCGCUCGUGUGUUGUGUUGUAGGUCUAGAUACCCGAGGGGUCCAAUGUAUUAUAGACCUUGUGAAGGUGUCCAAUCAUACUAUAGGCCUAAGGGAGCGGUCGAAUUAUUGUUGGCCUUACGAACCGGUCCAAUAGACAGUAGGCUCGGUAGAGCUGUCCAGGAACCCUAUAGAUCUUGUGAGGGAGUCCAGGCAGGCUGUAGGCCAAGGUCCUCUUAAUUAUGAUCUAAAAUAUAAAUAAAUUGAUUUUUUUAACUUUAAAGAGCUUUCUAACACUGAAAUUUAAUAAUUUCUAGCUUUACAAUACUGAAAUAUAAUUCAUACAACCACAAUAACAAUUUUUUAAAAAAACGUUGCUCAUUCAAUAUUUUGUAUUAAUUACUAAACAAUUUCAUCCCUAAACUUAGCCAUGUAUUAUCGGUCCGCUGCACUACCAUGUCCUUCAAACAAGUAAACGGUUAUAGGAAUUUAAAAUAGACUCAUUUAUUUGUAUCAAAUAAUUAAAUAAAUAAAAAUAUUGGCUAAAUAUAAAAAAAUAAAAAUAAAUAAAUAAAUAAAUAAACUCAACAUUCUGGCAUUGAGUAAAUUAGUCAGUUUUUUAAAUGACUUGAAAAUAAAAACAUAAAAAACAUGGUGUGUGUGCAUUUGUUUGUGUCUUAACUUAUUCAUAUACCUAUAAACAUUCAUUCAAUGUUAUUGUGGUUGUAUAAUGAUAUGUUAAAGGUAUAUGAUCUAAAAUAUAAAUAAACUUAUUUUUUUAACUUUAAAGAACUUUUCAACACUGAAAUUUAAUAAUUUCUAGCUUUAUAAUAUUGAAAAAUAAUUCAUACAACCAUAAUAAUAUAUAUUUAAAAAAAAAAACUGUUCCUUCAAUAUUUUGUAUUAACUAUUAAACAAUUUCAUCUUUGAACUUAGUGAUAUAUUCUCGACCCGUUACAUUACCAUGUCCAUCAAACAAGUAAAUGUUUAUAGGAAUUUAAUUAGACUUAUUUAUGUGUAUCAAAUAAUUAAAUAAAUAAAAAUAUUGGCAAAAUAUCGAAAACCCAACAUUUAGGCAUUGAGUAAAUUAGGCGGUUAUUUAAAUGACUUGAAAAAUAUACAAUUCUAGAUUUUCUAAUAAGAAAACAAAUAAAGCUAUUUAUUAUUUUUAUUAUAUUAAAUAAAAAAAAGGAAAAAAAAAAGAUUACAUGUGUAUGAAAAAUGUAACAGAAAAAAAAACAUGGUUUGUGCAUUUGUUUGUGUCUUAAGUUAUUUAUAUAUACAUUUUUUAUUUUUUAUCUAGAAGAUAUCUCUGAGAAAGUCUAAUUUCAAAAGAGAGUUUUUUUUUUCAAAACAAAGUAAACAUCACCUAAAUCUAACUACACGAAAGUCUAAUUUCAUUGUUAAUUAUUAGUUUAAAUUUCAUUAUAUUUUUCAAUCUAUAUGUGGUUUUAUUAAUUUCCACUUCCAAAAGAAUGAUGAUAUACCUUUCUAGGUUUUUAGAAGACUGGCGAAGAGUUUUAAAUUAUAUCUUUUUUAGUAUAGGCUAUAUAUUGUGUGUAUAUAUUGAGGGUCUUUUAUUCAAUUAAAAUUAUAUUGGUUGUACUAUUUAAAAAAAUUGAAUACAUAGAAACCCUAACAAGUAUUUUCUUAAUUCUAACAUAGUAUAAAGCUACGGAUUCUCUCUCUAUUGAUCAUUUCUCCAUCACAGACACGAUUCGAUUGGCAUCACCAUGAACUCAUGGUGAGACCGAAUGACAUCACCACGAACUCAUAGUGCCCAUACCGAGUCCGAAAAGUUCUCUUCUCAACAUCCUCCUCUCUGACCCUCAUAUGGUGGUAACCCGAUCUCAAAUCAAUCUUGGAGGAACAAGACGCACCUUGCAACUGAUUAAAAAGAUCAUCAAUCCUCAGAAGUGAGUAACGGUUCUUCACCAUUAACUUAUUUAACUCUUGGGAAUAUAUGCACAUUCGAUGAGCACCACCAGUCUUCUUCAUAAAUAAAAUCGGUGCUCCCUAGGGAUGAGCAAAGGAACCGACCCGAACAGAACCCGGACCGGAAACCAAAGUCGGCCGAAAUUAAGAAUCGAACUGGACCGCCGGUUAUACCGGUUCCGGUUCUACCAUUUACCGGUUCCUACCGGUUCUUUUCGUGUCUUCAAUGUUGGAACCAAUCAUCAAGAAAUAGCAACAUACAGUUCCAGCUUUUGCCGGUUCUACUGGUUCCCAAUUCCAAAGAUCCACAAGAAUAUCGUCCCGGUCCCGGCCCGAGCGGUUCCAUCGGGUUCCGGUUCCGUUACCGGUUCCUCUGUCCAGUUGCUCAUCCCUAGUGCUCCCCAGGGUGAAGUGUUUGGUCGGAUAAACUACUUGCCUAAUAGCUCAUAGAGCUGAGAGGACUACUCCUGCAUCUAUAGUUGUAACGUCUGUGUUUCGAGGCUAAGCAUUGAUACGAUGAUGUAAUAGUAAGGGUCAACAAAUGUAACUCAUUUUGAAGUAAUAAAAAGAAUUAUUUGAGUAUUAUGUGAAUUAUGUGAAUUUAUGUGUUUUAUACUUAUUUAUAAUGAUAUAAUAAAUUAAGAAUGACAAUAAGCGUCAAAAAUAAAAUGUUAGAUAAACCCGGUAUUUAUGAAGAAAGUUGUAGUGGUCGUAACAAGGGUUCCGAAAAUAUAAAGAACGCCAAAAUCCGAUUUAUAACGAAGAAGUUAUGACUUGUCGAAGUUUCGCGACAAAACCGGCACAACGUUGUGUGACGUAAAAAGUGAGUUUUUGAUAAAUUGCUUUUUAGCCUUACCAAUCUAAAUAAAAGUCGUGGUAUACGUUAAACUGAGAGCGUGCAUAAAAAGAACGUCCAAAUCUGACUUCGUAUGAGGAAGUUAUGAAUUUUCUAAGAUUUGGCAUAGCAGUGUACAGCCUGGAGUUUGAAUUUUAGAUCGAGUGAUUUUUAGCCCACACAACCUAAAUGAGAAUUGAAGAUCUCGUUAAUAGGAGUUCAACAAUAAAAACACAGUCGAAAAUGGAGUCCGUAUGUAGAAGUUAUGAAUUUUACACGGUCGUUAAAUAUUGUAAUCUUCUCAUACCGUUAAAUUUAAAAUCUGUUGAGAAUUAGCCGAUGGAGUCAAAAGGAGAAUUGUAUAUGUUGUCAAUACCUACGCGUGGAUAUAAAGAAAGUCAAAAACAGAACUCGUAUGAGAAUGUUACGGGGUUUAGAAGUCGUAAGGGUGCUGCAGCGAAAUGGGUGACGUGGCGCAAUCUCAACCAUUGCUUUCUCCCCACUAGAUGACGAAACGUGGCACCAACUCGACGAGUUGAACAGGAACUCGAUGAUUUUGGGGGUCAGAACUCGACAAGUUGACCAAAAAAACUCGACAAGUUAGGCACUUUUUCAUCCUAUAAAUACCACCCGAGAGUUCCUUCAUUUUUCACACUUUUUACCCUUUCUUUCCCUCUCUACUCCCUCUCUAAACCUCCCUAAACAUCCCCAAAAGCAUAGGAAACUUCCCUAGCACUUGAAGAAAGCCCCGAAGUUCCCGAACGCUCCGAUAAAAAGAGUUUUUCGGUUUAAAACUCUUCCUGCGCAAAACCCGGUUUUCAAGCAACCCUCCCGGUUUCGUCAAAGGAAAUCAUAUUUUUAAGAAGCGAAGCGUUGUUCAAGUUGGAAUCACCAUCUUAUCAAGUGAGUACAUAGUUACUUUCAUCUUACACAUAGAUAUGGAUUUAGUGCCUGUUGUAUAAACCAUGGCCACGAUGGACUUCGUACCUAUUCCUUAGGAAUGAAUGAAUAAAGAGUAGCUGAUUCUUAGGGUAGAUCCUUAAGAGUAAAGAAGAUAAUGGGGAUGGGUAAUUGGGUUGAUUGUUUGAUGUUUAAACAUAGUAACUAUAUUAUUGUGGGUUGAAAACCCUAUGUACUCACCAGGUUUCCCAACCUGACCCACUCAGUUUAUUUGUAUGACAGUGUCAAUAUAAAGAUGCACUACAUCGAGAGAUUAAAGAGAUGUAGAUCACUAGUGUAAAUGAAUGUAAUUUAUGUUUAUGCUUAUAUUUCUGUAUUGAGAUUGACAUCCCAAAGUUUUAAAAUAAAUAAAAUACAUUUCUUUGGAAAUGUUUUGAUAACAUAUUUAUCAUGUUUUUCUGGGAACAAAUUCCGCUACAUUUUUCUUUAAAAAGUUACUAUGAUUUGAAAAUAAAACAUAAGCAAAUCGGUUCUUUCUUGCCAUGAAAAUGGGGAUGCCACAAAGAUGGUGUGAGCAGAUACGAUGCCUUAGAAAUCGGGGCCACACCAGGGAUCAGAUCAAUCCUAAACUCCACCUACCUCACUGAAGGCACACCGAGAAGAUCAUCCGAAAAGACAUUUGGAAACUCCCUAACCACUGGAACAUCUGAAACUAACUUCUUCCCCUCAACUCGAGUGCCAACCACAUAUGUGAGAUAACCUAAACAUCAAUGCUAGAGACAUUGCCUAGCCCUAGCAGUCAAACAAAAAGUUGAACCAACCCGGGUACCCUCACCAUAAAUGGUCAAUUCGUCCCCACUUGGGGUUCGAACCACCAGAAGCUACCUCUCACAAUCAAUCAUGGCUUCAAAUCUACUCAGCCAAUCCAUCCCUACAGUCACGUAUACAUCUCACAUAGGGAUGAGAAUCAGGUCAACCGGGUAGAUCUCCCCGAAUAGCUCCAAAGUACAUCCAUGGAAAAUGCUCGAAGCAGAAACCUUGUGUUCGUCGGAAAAUGCUUCACAUCUAUUGUGACAUAGGUAUGAUGAUUCGCAAUGGGUGGGACUAGCAUUUAAUGCCAUGUACCAUUACGUCCGGCUUCUGUAUUUUUGAGUACACAUUACAAUGGUUUCCAGUCAUGACGUUAGCAACUAUUAUUACGGUUUUCGAAUUUCCCGCCCUUUUGUGCCUAUAUAGUUCUUGCCUAUUCAAUUUUCCUUGUUAUUGCUCUUUGUCUCUCUAAGUUUAUUCUUCUUUUUGUUAAGGACUCUCCGAUUAGCAUCGCCCUAACCCAUGAUCAGUUUGCUACUCUUCAAGAGAGAUACGACGUUUAGCCAGAAGAUGGUGUCACUUUUCCCGGUGAACAUGCUACCUUUAUCAAUCCUCCCGAGGGUAAAUUCGGUUCAUAUGCGAAACACUUUGAUGCCGGGUAUCAUCUUCUGACGUCAGAUUUCUUUUGAGAAGUUUUCCAUAAACACAAGGUUUACAUCAAUUAGUUGGUACCCAAUGGUAUAAACAAAGUAGUUGCUUUUGAGAUGCUUUAUCAUUCUAAUGGGAUUAACCCUGAUAGUUGGGUCUUUCGCCAUUUUUUUCGUUUCGAUGUUGCUUCCUCCGAUGAGAGUUAUAUGUUUGUUUUUCAUAAGCAUAGUCAGGUUCUAGUGACCGAGUAGAAGAAUUAGCCAAAGAACUGGGCAAAUAUUUAUUAUUGGGUUAAUAUUGAUCGUGUAGGGCUCAUGGAGCGGUAUUCGACUUCUGUGUUUGACCAAUCCUUUAACCUUUAUUCAGACAACGAGCAGAUGGCUAGGAUUCUUUGUUUUCUUUUCAUGUUGUGGCUGAUGACUUCCCAGAGUAUGUGCUUGUUGGGGCUGGGAUGAGUAUGUCAUGGAGGCCUCGUGGAAAGACGUCGGAGUUUUAUGUUACGUUGAGAGGUUUCUCUUGAUUCUGUUUAUCAUGUUCCAUUUUUUCCCUUCUUUCCCCCCCCCCCUCCCCCUUUAUNNNNNNNNNNNNNNNNNNNNNNNNNNNNNNNNNNNNNNNNNNNNNNNNNNNNNNNNNNNNAUACGUAUGUAAAUCUAUUCUUGGUAUGCAGGUGUCAAGAAUAGGAUUGAUUUCAUGGACGUGCUGGCUAAGAAGUGGAUGGGGAGUCUCCGGUAUCGAGAGGUGGAUCUCAAUGAUAGGGUGUUACCUUCUUUCCCUUUCUGUAAUGAAGCUUUUAUUGCCCGAGCAUCUGGCAUUCAAGACGAUGAGCGGUGUUGUGCUACUAUAGAGCCCUCACUGCAUGCUUCAAUUGAUUUUCUUAGUGCUGAUGUUGGUAUUAAGUCUUCAAGGAACAAGUCUCUUGAGGAAGAGGUCGUGGAGGAUAACAAAGAAGGGGUUCUUCCUUUCGUAAACAAGCGUAAAGCAUCUUGGCAAAGUGUGAGUGGUCAGGAUGUUGUGGGUCUGGCGCUCGUACGACAUCUGCAUCCACGAAAAUUAGCUAAAGGAAGCUCUCAUGUUGUUAAUGUUCAAAAUGAGGUAAUUGAUAUUCCUGACGACGGAAAUGUGGAGAAAGUUGUUUCUGAGAGAACGUUGUUAGGUCUGACUCGGUAGUUGUGUUCAAAACUUCAGAGCAUUUAGGAUUUGGGAGUGAACAAGGUAGUAUAAAGGAGGGGUUUCGUCUUUUGCGCUUUGGGCAUGAUGAAUUUCCAACUAUUGGUGCUAGUAAAAUAGGGGGCUCCAUUGGUGCGACGUUUUCUCCUUCCUGGUCUAUAAAGAACGAUCCUUGUCUUCCCUUGUUUGAAUCUGCAAUUGAUUUUUCCAAGAAUGCGUUUCUGCAUGGCACUUAAUCUGAAAUGGCUAAUUACUCCCUCUUUGAUCUUGUUGGGUCAUUUUGUUUUGCUUCAACUCAAAGUACCAGUUUUGUUGCUAAAGGUGCUAACUGUCUUUAGCAGUUCUUGGUUGUUGAUCGUGAUCAUGCCCAUAUGAUGAAGGAAAUUUAAGUGCUUCAUUCUGAGAAUACUGUGUUAUAGAAGAAGGUUUUCGAGUUUGAGGGGGAUGCCUUGCAGCUUAGUAUCGUUGUCGUGGAGAACAAGGUGUUGGAGAAGUGUGUGAUAGGUCUUAAACAUGAUAAACUUGCUUUGGGUGUUACAAUUGGCCAGUUGAAACAGGAAAAUGAAGGUUUAAGCAUCCGGUUGGAGAGCCUUGAGAAGGAUUUGGCGGAAAAAAGAUCGAGUUGUGGAAGAGAAGUUUGUGUUCUUAGGGGUUUUGUAACGUGAAAUUUAGUGGAUAAUGAAGGAAUGGUUGGCUGGAGUGGUUCAUCAUGUCUUCGAAAGUCCUGAGUUUCGUUAUGGUAUAAAUAAUUUUCGUGAUGCAUGUAUUGCUGUUGGAAAAGUUGUGGAGAUGCAGGAGGCGAAAGAAUUGGUUGGUGGUGGUGGUAGGUUGGAAGAUGUGUCGAGGGAUGGUGUUGACCAUGAGGGGGAGGUUGAUGAAGCAUUAGAUACUUUUGUAUCACUGUACUAUAUGUUGAUGGGUUUUAGCCAUAAGAACUUUCCUAUGUGCGCAUGCAAAACCCUAAUGCUUGGAUCUAGCCUUUCUAAUUAAACAUGCUUUGAAUCCAAGACUUCUAAUGGCUAAUUAGGUUAAAUAACAACAUUGAAACAGAUCUAGAACCAUACCUUUGAAUUCCUUGUUGAUCUUGUUGUCUUGGAGCUUCUAGAGUCACAAUUGUCACUCCUCUAAUGGCUUACAAACACCAAUAGCAAGCAUGAUGAUUUAGGAGAGAGGAGAGGGGAGGAAAUCGGCCAGGGUUCUCUUACUUUAGGUUAGGUGUCGAUUUCCCUUGCCCAUGGGAUCUAUUUAUACUUGUAGACUCCUUAAGGGUUACAAUCUAAACCCUAAUUGGAUAAUCUUCUCUUAAGGCUAUCCAAAUCCAUUCCAUAGAUAACCCCUUGGACGAUUUUGAAGCUAUCCUAGCUUCUAUAAUCCGUCCCUUGUAUAUCUAUAUGGAUUUACAGUCUAAAUCUUUACUAUCAAACAAUUGACAGUUUAUACCCCUUUAUUUAAUUAAUCUCUUUAAGUCACCAAAUUAAUUCCAAUUAAUUCUAUGACUUAUAUUAAUCAAAUAACAAUAUAUUAUUCUUUAUAUUAUUCCCAUAGUAUAUUAAUAAUAUUUACUCUCUCUUGAUAAAUCAUCCUGUCAAGUUGCUAUGGUGAAGGCAACCCAAAAGGACCAUGCACAACCGGGUCAAGUACUUGCCUAAUAUAGUUGCAGCCUUAGACACUAUUCCAACAGUCUCCCACUUGGAUAAGUCUAGUAACUAUAUGCACAAGUACAAUUUGGUUUGCAAUCGUAGCUCUCAAAGACGCUGUCAAACUCUGAUCUAAUCAAUCUUGUCCUUCAGAUAAGGGAUCGUACAGUCCUCUGUUAGAUAUCAUGCUGACAAUCCUAUGGAAUGGUUAGUCAAGCAUUUAGGUUUCUCGAUCUCUGAUUUAUUUGACAUAGAACUUAAUCGAACACAUCAAUUCAGUUCUGACCGGGCCCGACACAUAAGUCAAAUCAAAUCAUCGAGCGGCCGAGAUAUCACUUUUACCUUCUUAGAUAAAAGUUACAGAUAAACUUCGACUUAUAUGCAUUUACUUAUUCAAUAAUCAACUAUACACAACAAUGCGUUUUAUAACACCGAGUUACUGAUGCGUUUUCGCAUUAUCAAUGUACAAUCAAUUAACAAAUAACAAACCAUAUAUCUAGGUUUUAAGACUAUAUGAUAUUAUCGUCUUGCGAUCACCCUUUUAUAUCAUAUUCCAUAAGGUGAUUCCAGCAAGCGCGGGUUUGUUCCAAUGCUCAAAACUAGUUCAUAAGCACUCAUGAACGUUGCAGCAACCCUUUGCUAUGUCUAACACCAUUUAGACAAUCUACACACCAAUUCAUGACAAUCUUCAUUCAUAUCUACUUCCAACAUAUGAACGAUUGUGGACAAUUUGAACAAUUCGAUUAUUCCUAAUAAACUCAAUUAUUCUGGAAGUCAAAACAUGCAAAGUGAAACAAUAGUUAAACAAUUAACAUAAGAUAGUAACAUUACUCAUAAAUAAAACUCCUUUAUUUAAUCAUCAAAUGUUAAUUACAUUUAUCUAUUACACGUUUCUAAUACUAUCUAAUCUAUGCUAAUAUCAUCCUUCAGCCCAAUACUCCUAGCAUGCUGCAAGUGCUUAACCCUACUCAGUCCCUUCGUAAGCGGAUCUGCUGGGUUAUCUUCUGAUGAUAUCCUCUUCACUACGAGUUGUCCUUCUUCUACACGAUGUCUAAUGAAGUGAUAUUUUCUGUCGAUAUGUCUUGAUCUACCAUGAUCCCUCGGUUCCUUGGUCAAGGCAACCGCUCCUUCGUUAUCACAGAAAAUCUCCAUGGGCUCCUUUAUGGCAGGUACAACUCCAAGAUCACCGAUGAAGUUCUUUAGCCAUAUUGCCUCCUUCGACGCUUCGCUCGCUGCAAUGUACUCUGAUUCGCACGUUGAAUCAGCUACGGUUUCCUGCUUGGAACUCUUCCAUGUCACUGCUCCUCCAUUUAGGGUAAAGACCCAGCCCGACUGCGAACGGUAGUUGUCCCUGUCGGUCUGAAAACUGGCGUCACUAUACCCUCGCACCUUCAAGUCAUCACUCCCUCCGAGGACUAAGAACCAUUCCUUCGUCCUCCGAAGGUACUUAAGGAUAUUCUUCACCGCAAUCCAAUGUGCUCUGCCAGGAUUCCCUUGAUAUCUGCUAACCAUGCUCAAAGCGAAGGCUACAUCAGGGCGAGUACAAGUCAUAGCGUACAUGAUUGAGCCAACUGCGGAAGCGUAUGGUACUCGGCUCAUUUCUGCUAUCUCAGCUUCGGUACUCGGACUUUGAGUCUUACUCAAUUUGGCAUUACUUUGUAUCGGUAGUUCUCCCUUCUUUGAGUUUUCCAUACUAAAACGUUUUAGUACCUUCUCUAAGUAAGUAUUCUGACUAAGUCCAAUUAGUCUCUUACUUCUUUCUCUUACUAUCCUUAUUCCCAAAAUGUAAGAAGCCUCUCCGAGGUCCUUCAUAGCGAAGCACUUCCCGAGCCAGGACUUAACCUCCUGCAGAGUCGGGAUGUCGUUUCCUAUGAGUAAUAUGUCAUCGACAUAUAGAACGAGGAAGCUUACUAUACUCCCACUGGCUUUGACAUAUACACAAGAUUCGUCUUCGCUUCGUACAAAUCCAAACUCUUUGACUUUCUCAUCGAAGCAAAGAUUCCAUCUGCGAGACGCUUGCUUAAGUCCAUAAAUGGACUUCUCAAGCUUACACACUCUAUUCGGAUGCUUCGGAUCCACAAACCCCUCUGGCUGAGCCAUGUAAACAUCCUCAGCCAACUUUCCGUUAAGGAAAGCGGUCUUGACAUCCAUUUGCCAAAUCUCAUAAUCAUGAAAUGCGGCAAUUGCUAGCAUCACUCUAAUAGAUUUAAUCUUCGCAACUGGUGAGAAGGUCUCAUCAUAGUCAACUCCGGGAGUUUGAGUAAAGCCCUUCGCAACCAAUCGCGCUUUAUAUGUGUGUACGUUUCCAUCCACGUCGGUCUUCUUCUUGAAGAUCCAUUUGCACCCAACGGUCUUACGUCCGGGCACAUAAUCAACCAAAUUCCAAACUUGGUUAUCAUACAUGGAUUGGAUCUCGCUAUCCAUUGCCUCUUUCCAUUUUGCAGACUCCGGGCCUGCCAUGGCUUCCUUAUAGCUAUUAGGUUCAUCAAGAUUUACUAGUGUACCAUCACUAAUAUACGUGUCCCCUUCGGUAGUAAUAUGAAAACCAUAAAACUGGGGAUGAACUCUAACUCUAUCGGAACGUCUAAGAGGUAAGGAUUCGUCAAUCGGUUCAACCGGAGUUUCCUCCUCGGGUUGAGUGCCAGCGGUAGAGGUUCCUUCAUCUAUCGACUCUUGAAUCUCUUCAAGCUCGAUUUGCCUCCCACUGUCUCCUUGGCUUAUGAGUUCUCGCUCUCGGAAAACUCCUCUCCUCGCAACGAAGACAACAUUGUCCUUCGGUCUAUAGAAGAGAUAUCCAAAGGAUGUCUGCGGGUAGCCGAUGAAAAUACAUCGCUCACUUCGAGGUUCAAGCUUGUCGUGAGUAUCUCGUCUUACGAAAGCCUCGCAACCCCAAACCUUGAUAUGUGCCAACGAGGGAGCUUUCCCUGUCCACAUCUCGUGAGGUGUUUUGGCAACCUUCUUAGUAGGGACUCGGUUAAGGAUAUGGGCGGCAGUCUCUAAGGCAUACCCCCAAAAAGAGAUAGGUAGUGAAGCACGACUCAUCAUAGAGCGAACCAUAUCCAAUAAGGUUCGAUUACGCCUUUCUGCCACACCAUUCAACUGCGGUGUCCUAGGAGGCGUCAAUUGCGAAACUAUUCCACACUCCUUGAGAUAAUCGUGGAAUUCAAGACUUAGGUACUCUCCUCCUCGAUCGGAUCGAAGCAUCUUGAUUUUCCUGCCCAAUUGAUUCUCCACUUCAUUCUUGAACUCUUUGAACUUUUCAAAGGUGUCUGACUUUUGCUUGAUUAAGUAGAUAUACCCAUAUCUACUAUAGUCAUCGGUAAAAGUCACAUAGAAGCGGUUCCCAUCCUUCGUGGUUGAUCUAAACGGUCCACAUACAUCGGUAUGUAUUAGGUCCAAUAGACCCUCGCCCCUUUCACAUGUACUCGUGAAGGGUGACUUAGUCAUCUUUCCAAGCAAACAAGACUCGCAUGUGUCAUCUUCCCUAAGGUCGAAUGACUCCAACACUCCAUCCUUUUGGAGUUGGGCUAUGCGUUUCUUGUUGACAUGUCCAAGACGACAAUGCCACAAGGAUGCUUUAUCCAUACUAGUGGAAGAAUCAAUAUUCAAAACAUCAUUUCCUAAGUUAUCAACAAUCAUAACGGUUUCAUAUAUUCCAUUACAUGGUAUAGCUUCAAAGUAAAAGACACCAUUUAGAUAAGCCAAAAUAGAACCAUUCUCAUUAUUAAAAGAAAAUCUAAAUCCUUGUCUAUAUAAACCAUGAAAUGAAAUGAUGUUUCUUGCCAUUUCUGGCGAAUAGCAACAAUUGUUCAAAUCUAAAACUAAACUAUUCCUAAGCACUAAGGAAUACACUCCAAUCUUGGUCACAGGCGACGAUCUUCUGUUCCCCAUGAUUAGAUUGAUCCUUCCUUGCUCCACAUCCCUACUUCUUCUUAGUCCCUGCACAUUAGAACAAAUGUGAUAACCACAACCGGUAUCAAGAACCCAAGAAAUAGCAUGAUUAGAAUCGUUAGAUUUGAUUGUAUAUAUACCUGCGAAAGAUGGCUUGAUCUUUCCUUCUUUGAUUGCUUGCAGGUAAUCCGGGCAGCUUCUCUUCCAAUGUCCUAUCUUGUGGCAGUGGUGGCACUCUGCCUCCUUCGGGUUAGAGCAGGGCUUGGCGGGAUCAACUUUGGUCCCACUAGAAGAGGCACCAUCUCGGGCUUUCACCUUGCGAUAGUUCUUCGAUGAAGCUUUCCUCUUCUUUCCCUUCCCUUGUCCAAUAGCCAAGACAGGAGCAGCGGGCGGAUUGGGAGUAGGUGCAACAGACUUGUCUUUGAAGUUGCUCUCAGCAACCCUCAAGAGACCUUGGAGCUUGCUUAGGGUGACCUCUUCUUUGUUCAUGUGGUAGGUCAUCCUAAAUUGGUUGUACAUCGGAGGCAAAGAGUGAAGCACCAUGUCGAUCGCCAAGUCUUCACCGAAGUCAACAUUUAACUUGCGGAGGCGGUCAACAUACCUUUGCAUCUUUUGCAAGUGCACGGUAAGAGAUUCUCCAUGACCCAUCUUCGCGGAAAUCAUGUUAGUGAAAAUCUCGUACCUCUCUUGUCUCGCGUUUUGGUGGUACCUCUCCAAUAAGUCUUGAUGCAUCUCGUACGGGUACAUGUCCUCGUAGGACUUUUGGAAUUCGGAGUUCAUGGUGGCGAUCAUGAUGCAAUGUACCUUCGUUGCAUCUCGCUCAUGAGUUUCAAAGGCGGUGAUUUCGGCGGGAGUAGCAAUUUCGGGGUUGAUUUUCUCGAGCUUCUCAUCGAGGACAUACUCCUUAUCCUCAUAGCGAGCAAUGGUGCGAAUGUAUCUUAUCCAUUCGCUAAAGUUCGUUCCAUCGAAGGUGACCUUUUGGCAAAGGCUCAUCAACGUGAAAGAACUAGCAGCAGCGUUGUUUGCGUUCGACAUCUACAAUUAGAAAAGGACAAAGAUAGAUUAGAAUAAGAAUCCCUAAUUAUCACCCAAUAAGAAAAUUAGGGCUAGGAUCCAACAAUAACAUUUACAUACUAGAAAAGGGAUGCCGUAAUCUAACAUGCAAAUAAAUUGAAGGUAAGUGAAUGACGAUUCACUAAUUCUCCAUCACAAAACUUAAACUAUUAGUCCUAAGUGUUUUUGAGAAUUCCUAGGUUCGGAUGAGAUUCAUUGAAACUAUUCAAUGGCAUGUUUAAAUCUCGAUAUGCCCCUCUUGUUUGUGACUGGGAUGCCGAGGAUCACAAAGCGGGUGUGAAUUACCAUGCAAAUUCACAUGGUGCCUUCAUUGUAACAAUCACCUAUUCGAUGUGCCGGUAAACCACACACGCUCCAUCGAACUAUGAUAAACAAUGAAUCACCCUUUGCCACCUUCGCUUAGAACCAAUUAGUGUGCCGGUAAACCACACACGCUCCACUAACAUCUUAGCAAGGUGCAAAGUGUAAUUUCAUGGGAUUGCAUCAAUUCACUUUUCCUAAAGUAACUAGGAUUGGGAAAUUUUAAAAAAAUGUGUAGUUACUUUAUAUUUCUUAUUAUACUUUUAAUGAGAGGAUGAGGUUGCCCUAUCCUACCCGUUCGGCUAACGACCCUCCACCAAUCAAGCAAGCGGUGGGUGUGAGUGUACACCCAUUAAGCGCCAUUUUAUAGGCCGCAACCUUAUACCCACCUUAUAGAUCGGCUUCGUGAAUGAGGCCUACUAACGGUAAGACUAGCAUUUAGUUAUACAUAUAUAUAUUAUUCUAGUAAUAUCAUAUUAGUAUAGGGUUGUAUUUUAAAACUUUUAAAAUCUAGGGUUUGAAAUUUAAGUUGUCUAAAUUAAAACUUUUAAUCACAAAAGUAAAUUUCAAAACAUGAGGGUAGGUUUUAAACAUUUAAAACAUGGAGGAUCAAAUAACAAAUAAUUCCAAUUAACAAUUAAUAUCCUAAUUAUCUAUAUUUGAUUUAUUCAAGAUUUCUUUUAAAGAUAAUUACCAAAAUAAUCAAAAUAAUUAAUUAAUUAUCAUAUAAGGAAAUUAAAUAUUUAAUUAGUUGAUAAUUACCUUUAACUAGAUCAAGAUAAUAGUUAUAUUUAUCAGAAAAACGAAUUAAUGUUGAUCUAAUUAGUUUAUGGUAAGUUAAGAUAAGAUAAACACAAAGAAAUCCCGAAUCUGGCCAUUCCUGACGCCUGGACUCGCCGAGUGCACAAAUGGACUCGCCGAGUCAGGCCUACUCGCCGAGUCCACUUUGAGACUCGCCGAGUCCAUGACUCAGAAACCAAAAAUUCGAAUUUUGCAGGUUUGUUUCAGUUAAUCAAGCAACAAUUUACAGAAAACCAAGCUAGGCUCUGAUACCACUGAUGGGUUUUAGCCAUAAGAACUUUCCUAUGUGCGCAUGCAAAACCCUAAUGCUUGGAUCUAGGCUUUCUAAUAAACAUGCUUUGAAUCCAAGACUUCUAAUGGCUAAUUAGGUUAAAUAACAACAUUGAAACAGAUCUAGAACCAUACCUUUGAAUUCCUUGUUGAUCUUGUUGUCUUGGAGCUUCUAGAGUCACAAUUGUCACUCCUCUAAUGGCUUACAAACACCAAUAGCAAGAAAGAUGACUUAGGAGAGAGGAGAGGGGAGGAAAUCGGCUAGGGUUCUCUUAAUUUAGGUUAGGUGUCUAUUUCCCUUGCCCAUGGGAUCUAUUUAUACUUGUAGACUCCUUAAGGGUUACAAUCUAAACCCUAAUUGGAUAAUCUUCUCUUAAGGCUAUCCAAAUCCAUUCCAUAGAUAACCCCUUGGACAAUUUUGAAGCUAUCCUAGCUUCUAGAAUCCAUCCCUUGUAUAUCUAUAUGGAUUUACAGUCUAAAUCUUAACUAUCAAACAAUUGACAGUUUAUACCCCUUUAUUUAAUUAAUCUCUUUAAGUCACCAAAUUAAUUCCAAUUAAUUCUAUGACUUAUAUUAAUCAAAUAACAAUAUAUUAUUCUUUAUAUUAUUCCCAUAAUAUAUUAAUAAUAUUACUCUCUCUUGAUAAAUCAUCCUGUCAAGUUGCUAUGGUGAAGGCAACCCAAAAGGACCAUGCACAACCGGGUCAAGUACUUGCCUAAUAUAGUUGCAGCUUUAGACACUAUUCCAACAUAUGUAUGUGCUUGAUUUGGAGAGAUUGGAUGAGGAUAGGCUAAAGCAGAUGGUGCAAGCUCCUGGUGGUGUCGGUCCCUCUUAAUUUUCUUAUCUUUGUUAUGCUUUUACUUUGGUUACAACAUUGGGUAUUAGGCUGGUUUAGCCAUCUUGACAUGUUUUUGCUUGUUAUUUUAGAAUUGUUGCUUGGUUUACGGAUUUUACACUUGAACUGCAUGAAUCCUCAUUGAUUUUCGUUUUUUCAUUUGUUCUAGUUGGCUCUUUGUUUGAUAAGUUGAUAAGACGGGUUGUUGAUUGCAUGGAAUACUAGAUCUUGGUAGACCUUUGGGGAUUCUCAUGCUAGUUGAGUCGAUAAUUUUCUUUUUCUUGUCCUGAAAUGGGUCUGAAUUGUGUUUUUGAGACAAUUUUUCAGUUUGGAAUAGUGAGUCGAGCCAUUUGUUCUCAAUAAUCAAGGCAGGUCGAAGCCAUGGUACUUUAGAACCGUUUGUUGUUAUAGAAAGUAGGUCGAGGCAUUUGGCCUCCAGACUUAUGGGAGGUCAAAACCAGGGGCUUUGGAACCGUUUUCCAUCAUAGAAAGUAGGUCGGUGCAUUUGGCCUCCAGACUAGAAAAUAGGUCGAGGCAUUUGGCCUCCAAACUUAAGGUAGAUCAAAGCCAGGGGAUUUGGAACCGUUUGUCGUUAUUAAAAGUAGGUCAAGGCAUUUGGCCUCCAGACUUAAGGCACUUCAAAGCCAAGGGCUUUUGGAUCUUUUUUUAUUAUAGAAAGUAUGUCGGGGCAUUUAGCCUCUAGACUUAAGGCAGGUCAAAGCCAGGGUAUUUGGAACUGUUUUCCGCUUAUUUGUCACAUGUGAAUUUAUAAGUGUGCACUUUAGUUCUAUGAAAUUCAUCAUUGAUUUCAUAUCGGGAGGAGAGGGUGAUCAUUCAUUCCUUUCUUACAUGCUUUUCAAUGGAAAACAUCAUAAUAAAUGAAAGGAAAAAGAGGAGGGGGUCUUGUGCCCUCAUUCUUGUUGCAUGUUUCUCAGUAGUGAAAUAAUCUCAGGUUUUGGACAUUCCAAGUCCUUGGAAUGGGUAUUUCUAGAUUCCAAAACUUUGUAGGGGCCUUCCCAGGUUGUUCCUAGCUUGUUCCUUGGUUUGUCGUGGCUGGCUUCAUUUUUCCUCAACACCAGUUCGCCUAUUUUGAAUGCUCGCUAUUUUACUCUUUUGUUGUAGUACUUUUCAAUAUUUGCUUUGUACACUGUUUGAUGGAGUGCUACCAUGUAGCGUUUCUCUUCUAUUAGAUCGAGGUUGAUUUGAAGAUCUUCAACGUUCUUUUCGGUAUUGAAACAUAGUAUAUAGGGGGUUUCUAUGAGCAGUUCUUGUGGUAGAACUAUUUCCAUGCCAUAUACAAAUUUGAAUGAUGUAUGUCCCGUUCCGACAUGGGGAGUGGUCCUAUAUGACCAUAACAUCGUGGGGACUUUGUCCACCUAUUUACCUUUCUUUUUGCCCAAACAUUUCUUGAUUCUAGCUACUAGGGUCCUGUUGGAUACCUUUGUAUGUCAAUUGGCUUGAGGAUGAGCCACGGAAGUGAAUCGUUGUUGUAUGUUAUGUUCUUCACACCAUUUCCUGAGAGGGUUUGCAGUGAACUGUAGACCAUUGUUGCUGACAAGUGUCCUUGGGUUCCAAAUCGUGUCAGAAUAUUCUUCCACAUUAAUUUGAUCAUGCAACGUCCGUUUAUUGUUGCUAUUGGUUCUGCUUCUAUCCACUUUUUGAAGUAGUCAAUGGAUACAACUAGACACUUGACUUUACCUAGGGCUUCUGGGAAAGGUCCCACAAUGUCUAUUCCCCAUUUGUGUAAAGGACAUGGACUAGACAUGCUGGUUAGCAGAGCUGCCGAUAAGUUCUAUAUUGGUGUAAACGUCUGGCAUUCUUUACAUCAUAUCGUGAUCUCGACUGCAUCCUUGUAAAUUUUUUGCCAGUAGAUUCUGAGGUGGAAAAUCUUUCCAGCUAGUGCUCUGGCCCCUUCAUGCAUGCGCACUUCUCUUGCAUGUAUUUCUUGUAGUAUGGACUUUCCUUCUUUUUGUAUUACACAUUUUAGCCAUGGUGCAAGGUAGCUUUUCUAUAUAACGUUCUGUUGUGAAUGGUAUACUGGGGUGAUUUGAUUUUUUUAUCUUCCAUGCUUCUACUCCGUCGUUUGGGAGGAUUCCAUUCAGCAAGUGGUCAAAGUAUGGUGUCAUCCAAUUUGGUUGGUCUGUUCUCAUUACGACGACUUCUUGUCUAUCGAUACUUCUUGUUGGGAGGAUCUCGAUGAGUACCUUUUUUUCUUUGACAUAUGGUCAAAUGAUGUUGAUGCCAACUUACUUAGUGCAUUUACCCGCUUGUUUUUGGAUCUACUUAUCUGUUUAAGGGUGAAAUGCUUGAAGGUUUCAGCUAGAUAUUUUACUGCUUUUACAUAUUUUUGCAUUCUUCCAUCUCACAAUUCAUAGAAUUUGUUGAUUUGAUUUAUUGCCAGCAUGGAUUCACUUAGCACUUACAUUGCCUCUGCCCCUAUUUUUUUGCUAGGCACAUCCCUGCUAACAAGCCUUCAUAUUCUGCCUCGUUAUUGGAUGUAUGUAUAUCAAAAUGUAAUGCAUACGUAACUUCUUCGCCCGUUGGUAUUUUUAAUACCAAUCCCGCUCCUAGUCGUUCCUUGUUGCAUGCACCAUCGGUAUGUAGGGUCCAAUAUGUUUCUUCUUCUUUCAAAGGUUUUGUUUGUCCAACUUCCACAUCACUUGUUUUUUGUGUCUUAUCUGUUGUAGUAAAUUCCAUCAAGAAAUAUACUAGGUCAUGUGCUUUAUGAUUGACCAUGGUCUAUACUCGAUAUUGUGUUCACCGAGUCCGAUUGCCCACUUGGCCAGUCGGCUGGAAUUAUCUGGUUUGGAUAAGAUUUAGCGGAUGAGCAAAAUAGUGAGGACUUCGAUCUGAUCUGCCUGGAAGUAUCUAUGUAACCUUCUAGUCGCAUGAAUUAGAGAUAGGACCAAAUUCUCCAAUAUUUAAUAAUUUAGUUCUGGUCCUAGUAGUGUCUGUUGAGACAGUAGAUUGGCAAUUGUCUCCUAUCUCUUUCUACUGCGAGGACUGCACUGAUGACCUCUUGGGAAGUGGCUAGACAUAUGGAUAGUGUUUCGCCUAGCCAGCGUUGGGAGCUUUUGGAGGGAUUUCUUUAGCUGUCUAAUGAGUGCUUUACUUUUUCUGCCCAUCUGAAAUUGUUUUUAUCUACACAUUCUUUUAGGGUUUGGAAUAAUGGCAUGGCCUUCUCGGGCCACUUCGAGAUGAAGCGUCCAAGUUUUGUUAUCUUUCCAUUCAACCCCUAUAUAUCUUACACAUUUAUGGGGGAAUUGGUUUCCCGAAGGUCUUUAAUCUUGCUUGGGUUGGGUUGUGUGUAACACCCAGUUUUCCAGGUAUAUUGAUUUAUGUUCUAUUUCUUUAAUUAUGUAAGGUGACUCGACGAGUUGGUGCUUAGACUCGUCGAGUCUGGUCGCGACUGGAUGACGUGGUUAAUGAGGGGACUCGACGAGUCAAUGGAGUGACUCUCCGAGUCAGAUCUGACGAAAGAAACUCUAAUUUCUCGGGUUUGGGGCCUAUUUAAAGGCCCUUAUGGCCUUCAUUUGCGGCUACCAGUCCACAGAGAGAAACCCUAGAGUGCUUGAGCGUCUUGAGAGAGAGAAAGGAAGCCAUUCUUGACCUUUGUGGUAUUGUUUAGCAAGAAGAAGGAGGUCCUAGCCGAGAGGAAGCAAAGGAGGUUGCUAUUCUGUGGAUUUGAAGCUUAGAUCAUCGCAUUUGAGGUAUUAAUUCGGCUCUUCUUCUGUUUUAUUAAGAGUAUAUGGAUUUAGGGUUUCUUGUGCCCUUUGCUAGGCUGAUUUGAUGUCCAAAUAGUCCCUUUCUGGUGAUGAGGCUUUGGAUCUGGAUCCAUAGAGGUCCAGAGAGCCUUACUCAUCAGGCUUUAUGAAGAACAAUGGAGGUUAUGACUUUAGGUUAAGGUAUUUGGGGCUAAAUCAUCAUAUAUGGUCAUAUAGAUGUUGCAUGUGCAUCAAGAUAGAGACUUUAUGUGAUUAUUGAACUUCGGAAGGUUAGAUCUAGGGAUUAGAGGAAUAGAUCUGGCCUCAGAAGGUUGUUUGAGGUUGUGCAUGAAAUGAACUCGCCGAGUCCAUGAGCAGACUCGACAAGUCGGAGCGGGUUGUCCCGUGACUCAAAUCAGUGGAUGACUCGCUGAGUUGGGUGAGUGACUCGGUGAGUCAGAAAGGAUUCAAAGGACUCGAGUUCACGUAUGGAGUCGACGAGUCAGGUCAAAGGUUGACCGUUGACCAGGGUUGACUAGUGUUGACUUAAUAGCAUUAGUCAAACUAAGCCAUGAAAGUAUUAAUUAGAGAUGUAAUUAUGAUAUAGGAGGACGAUAAGUCGGGGAAUCGAGCAUGAGUGAUUAUCCAACAUCAAGCGAGGUGACUCUUCUCACUAUGCCAUACCCGAUGGGGUGAUUAUGUGUGACCGAAAGGUCUUAUGUGUAUGAUGUUUAUGUGAUGCAUGUUAUAUAUGUGAUACGUUAUGAUAUGAGUAUGAUGAUAUGGACCGGAAGGUCAACAGAGUAUGGGCCGGAAGGUCAACAGAUCUAUGGGAUGGAAAUCCCCUGAGACACUUGGAUCGGAAGAUCCUAUAGAGUUAUGGCCUGGAAAGGCGUAGGUGUUGUAUGUGGUAUUUUGGGGAACUCACUAAGCAUUUAUGCUUACCAUUUGUGUGUUAUGUGUUUCAGGUACUAGUGAUGAUCGUAGGAAGGCGUCGGCAUGAUCGGUACACACUUGCAGAUGAUAUGUUUUUGAGAUCUUGGGAUAUGGAGUAUGUAUUGUGUUUUGUGGAAAUAUUGGAUACAUGAUUUUGGAAUGAUUUGAAAAUGAAAUGUUUUUACUAAAAAUUUAAAUAAAAAAAAUUGCUUGAAAUUUCGCGGUGUUACAAAUUGGUAUCAGAGCCUUGGUUUGAGGGAUUCGGAUUCACCUUCGGGCGUAUUUGAACUCAAACCGAGGAUUUGAGAGAGAUUUUCAUAAAAUAAACAAUUUUUCUAAAGAGUAAAGGAAUUUGAAAGAUACGCAAGGAAGUAGUGUGUAUGAUCAGCCAGCGCCCGAACGGUGAUUUCCCAAAUUACCCUUACAAUAUGUGUUUUGAGAUAUGUUGUAAUGUGUGAUGCAUGCUAGAGUAGGCUAGGUAUUCAUAUUAGGACUAGAGUGGUCUGAAUUGUGAUGCCUUAGCCUAGGAAGAUUUAUGCUGCCGUGAGAUGUCUUAGAGUGAGUAGGUAGCAGUGAGGUGUUAUGAUAGUCUACCGAAGGGUAGCUUAUGUGUAGUAAGAGAUAGAGUACUUGUGACUUAGGAUCCUUGGAGGAUGACUUGGGAUGAAUAUUGGUGCAGUGUGGAAGGUAGUAUUGGGCCCGUACUACUGGAAACACCGGACCAGUGUGCAGUCCAAGUAGAAAUCCUUAGGGUACUAGGAAUCAAGUAGGGUUGGGUUAACGAGUGCGAGUACACGCGAGCGAGUCCCUGAUAUUUUAUGUUGUAUUUCAGAGACAUCAUGGUUGGGACACGCCACAGAUCGGGGACUAGCGAAGGAGGAGUGAGUGAUGAGGAGCUCCGCCAGAUGAUUCAUGAUGAGGUGGCUGCUGCCAUCAGGGCUGAGAUACCAGAGAUGUUCGGGUCUAUCAAGACCACGCUGAUUGAGACCUUUGAUGAGCGGUAUGUUGCUCUUACUGAUGUUGCUGUCGCUGCAGCCACUGCAGCUGUCGCUGCUGCCAAGCCACAAGGGGGUGACUCGUUGCUGUAUCGGGAGUUUAGCAACACGAAGCCACCCGAGUUUGAUGGGACACAGGAUCUGAUUGCUGCGAUGAGAUGGAUAUCUGACAUUGAGGGAUGCUUCUACACCUGUUUGUCUCCAGAGCAUCUGAGGGUUCGGUUUGCGCUGAACCAGCUUUGCUUAGGAGCGAAGAACUGGUGGAAGUUUGUGACGGCACAUCUUACUUCUCGGAGAUUUCAGCAGUGGUCUGGGAGAGGUUCACUGCGAUGUUUCGAGGCGAUUACAUUCCCCUUGUGGAAAGGGAACGUUUGGCCCAGGAGUUCUUGACCCUCAAGCCGGGGACUGAGUCUGUGACAGUAAUUACGAGGAUGUUUCAUGAGCGGGCGUUGUUUUGCCCUGAGCACGUGUCGACCGAGCAUGCACGUAUGAGCCGAUACCUGAGCAUUCUGAGGAGAGACAUUCGGGAGUUCGUGGCGAACUCAUCAUACCGAACAUUUGCUGAGCUCCAGGAAAAUGCACGGAAGAGGGAGAUUGAGCUGGAGACUCAGGCCAGGGAGUAGGCCGAGUCACAGAGUAGGGAUAAGCGGUCGGCAUAGUCUCAGCCGACAGCCAAGUGGGGAAAGCCCACCGAUUCGAGAUCUGGGGGCCAGAAGGGCCGCACUUGCAUGAGGUGCGGCAAGGGGCAUGAUGGGGUUUAUCGGUCUGGUGCUUGCUACAAGUGUGGCAAGGAGGGGCAUGUCGCCAAGGAUUGUCCCAAGGAGUUUAUGGUUUGCUUUCAUUGCAACCAGACCGGACACCGGAAGGUCGAGUGUCCACAGUUGAGGGGGACAGCGCAUGGGACGCCGCAUGGGUCUACCCAUGCUGCUUCACGAGCUAUUGAGGGUCGGCCUGUGAAGGCCAAAGCACCGAAGGUGCGAGGGAGAGCUUUUCAGCUGACAUCGGAGGAGGUCCGUGCAGCACCCGACAUCGUGGUUGGUAUGUAUUAUGUUCUUAUUUAUUUAUGUUGUGAUGAGAUGUUGUAUUCAUAUUAUGCUAUGAGUAGGUACUUUCCUUGCAAAUUCUGUACCUACAUUGGUGUUAUUUGACUCGGGUGUGAGUCGGUCAUUUGUAUCAUUAGCAUUCAGUAGGCACAUCAGUAUCCAGCGAGAGGUGAUGAGUCGACCUCUACGUGUUUCGAUAGCUGACGAGCGAACAGUGUAUGCCACGGAUGUGAUUCGGGGGUGUGUGCUUGAGAUCUUCGGAGUUGGUUUUCCGAUAGAUCUGGUUCCAAUUGUGAUGGGGGACGUAUGUGUUAUCGUGGGAAUGGAUUGGUUGAGCCAAUUUGGGGCGGUAAUAGACUGUGUGCAGCAGUUGGUGACGAUCCGUGAUCCUAGUGGGGGAGUGCUGACAGUUUAUGGUGAGGGAACAAACUCGUUGUGGGUCAGCAUUCUGUUCGGCUGCCAGAGCGAGGCAGAGUUUGCAGCAUGGAUGCACGGGGUUCGUAGCCUAUGUGAUGGAUACACGGGAGACCGCUGAGAGGCCAAGUUUAGUUGAUGAUGUCACGAUAGUGCGUGAGUUCCCGUAUGUAUUUCCCGAGGAGUUGUCAGGUGUGGCUCCCGAGAGGCAGGUGAAGUUUCGCAUCGAUUUGAUUCCCGAAGCCGCGCCUAUCGCUAAAGCACCUUAUCGCCUUGCACCGCCAGAGAUGUUGGAUCUAUCCUCGCAGCUUCAGGAGCUGUUGGGGAAGGGGUUCAUUCGGCCGAGUAGCUCACCUUGGGAAACACCGAUCCUUUUUGUCAAAAAGAAGGAUGGUUCACACCGGAUGUGCAUUGAUUACCGGGAGUUGAACAAGUUAACGGUCAAGAACCGUUAUCCGUUGCCAAGGACUGAUGAUUUAUUUGAUCAGUUGUAGGGGGCAUCUUGGUUCUUCAAGAUAGACUUGAGGUCUGGAUAUCAUCAGAUGAGGGUGCGUGAUGAGGAUAUCCAGAAGACGGCGUUCAGAACACGUUAUGGGUACUAUGAGUUCGUGGUGAUGCCUUUCGGGCUCACCAAUGCGCCGGCAGCGUUCAUGGAUCUCAUGAAUCAGGUGUGCAGGUCGAUGUUGGAUCGAUCUGUGAUUGUGUUCAUUGAUGAUAUUCUGGUGUAUUCUAGAUCCCGAGAGCAGCAUGAGGAGCAUUUGAGGGAGGUCCUCGGGGUGUUGAGAUCGGAGAGGCUUUAUGACAAAUCUCCAAGUGUGAUUUCUGGUUACGGGAGGUCUAGUUCCUAGGGCAUCUCGUUAAUCAGAAUGGGAUUUUGGUCGAUCCGGCCAAGAUUGAGGCAGUGAUGAGCUGGGGGGUGCCGAAGUCACUCCGAGAUCAGGAUUUUUCUGGGAUUGGCGGGUUAUUAUCGGAGGUUUAUCGAGGAUUUCUCCAAGAUUGCAGUUCCACUCACUAGGUUGACCCAGAAGGGUGUUGCAUUCUCAUGGGGUCCAGAGCAGCAGAUCUCGUUUUAGACGAUUCGCCAAAAGUUGUGUGAAGCCCUGGUGUUAUCCCUUCCAGAAGGAGUUGUUGAUUUUGUGGUUUACUACGAUGCAUCGAUAUUUGGGUUAGGCGCGGUGCUUAUGCAGAAGGGGCAUGUGAUAGCGUAUGCAUCAAGGCAGUUGAAGCCUCAUGAGGUGAGGUAUCCCACUCAUGAUCUGGAGUUGGGGGCAGUAGUGUUCGCCCUUAAGAUCUGCACCACUAUCUGUAAGGGGUUCGUUGUACCAUAUACACGGACCACAAGAGUUUGUAGUAUUUGAUGGAUCAGCCUAACUUGAACAUGCAGCAAAGGAGAUGGUUGGAUGUGGUAAAGGAUUAUGAUUGUGAGAUCAUGUACCACCCGGGCACAGCGAACGUGGUAGCUGAUGCCCUGAGUCGGAGGGAAGAGAGUGCCCCGAUCCGAGGUAUGUGUAUGAGGAUGACCGUGAUGACUCCGGUGUUGGAUGCCAUUCGAGAGGCCCAGGCCGAGGCUGUGAGACCGGAGAACCGUAAGAAAGAGCGGGUGAUUGGGCAAGCAUCUGAGUUUGUUACUGAUAUCCGAGGGCUUAUGACAUUUCAGGGUCGUAUUUGGGUGCCGUUCAUUGGUGGGACACGUAGCAUCUUGAUGAAGGAGGCGCAUCGAUCGAGGUUCUUGAUCCAUCCCGGGGCCACCAAGAUGUAUUUGGAUCUGAAGAGAGAUUAUUGGUGGCCAUGCAUGAAGAGGGAUGUAGCGUGGGUUGUAGAGAGGUGUUUGACCUGUCGUCAGGUUAAGGCCGAGCACCAGCGUCCGCAUGGUAAGUUGCAGCCACUCGAGGUUCUCCAGUGGAAGUGGGAACAUAUCUCUAUGGAUUUCAUCACCAAGUUACCCAGAACCCCAAGGGGUGUCGAUGCGAUUUGGGUAAUAGUGGAUCGACUGAUGAAGAGUGCCCACUUUCUUUCUAUCAGUGAGAGUUCUUCUGCGGAGAAGUUGGCAGAGAUGUAUGUGAGGGAGAUAGUGUCUCGGCAUGGGGUACCGAUUUCGAUUGUGUCGGAUCGGGAUGUACGUUUUACUUCCAGGUUUUCGAAGAAGUUUCAUGAGGAGUUGGGUACGAGAUUGCAUUUCAGCACUGCCUAUCACCCUCAGACCGAUGGUCAGAGUGAGCGGACUAUUCAGACUCUUGAGGACAUGCUUCGCACGCGUGUAUUGGAUUUUGGAGGGAGUUGGGACACGUAUCUACCUUUGGAUGAGUUUUCCUAUAACAACAGCCAUCAUUCGAGCAUCGGUAUGCCUCCUUUUGAGUUGUUAUAUGGGAGGAGGUGUCGGACUCCCAUUUGCUGGGGAGAAGUAGGGCAGCGGGUGAUGGGUAGCACGGAGAUAGUGCUACAGACCACCGAGCAGAUUCAGCAGGUUAGACAGAGGUUGCUGACAGCCUAGAGCCGUCAGAAGAGUUAUGCUGAUAGACGGCGGUCAGAGCUCGAGUUUCAGGUAGGUGAUUUCGUUCUCCUGAAAGUCUCACCUUGGAAAGGUGUGAUUCGAUUCAGGAAGAGAGGCAAGUUGGGGCCUCGGUAUAUUGGUCCUUUUAGGGUGACCGCCAGGGUGGGCAGGGUAGCGUAUUGUUUGGAGCUACCUGCGGACUUGAGUCAGAUUCAUAAUACCUUCCACGUGUCUCAGUUGAGGAAGUGUAUCGCCGAUGAGUCGGCAGUGGUUCCAUUAGAGGACAUUCAGGUGGAUGCGAGCCUUAACUAUGUUGAGAGGUCGAUCGUGAUUCAGGAUAGGAGGAUCAAGGUUUUGAGAAACAAGGAGGUGUCAUUGGUUCAAGUCCAGUGGCAACAUCGGAAGGGGUCCGAGCUGACUUGGGAGCCGGAGUUAGAGAUGAGUGAGCAGUAUCCAAAAUUAUUUGUUGAGCGAGACUUCGAGGGCGAAGUCUGAUUCUAGUGGGGGAGAAUCGUAACACCCAGUUUUCCAGGUAUAUUGAUUUAUGUUGUAUUUCUUUAAUUAUGUAAGGCGACUCGACGAGUUGGUGCUUAGACUCGUUGAGUCUGGUUGCGACUGGAUGACGUGGUUAAUGAGGGGACUCGACGAGUCAAUGGAGUGACUCUCCGAGUCAGAUCUGACGAAAGAAACUCUAAUUUCUCGGGUUUGGGGCCUAUUUAAAGGCCCUUAUGGCCUUCAUUUGCGGCUACCAGUCCACAGAGAGAAACCCUAGAGUGCUUGAGCGUCUUAAGAGAGACUUUAUGUGAUUAUUGAACUUUAGAAGGUUAGAUCUAGGGAUUAGAGGAAUAGAUCUAGCCUCAGAAGGUUUUUUGAGGUUGUGCAUGAAAUGAACUCGCCGAGUCCAUGAGCAGACUCGACGAGUCGGAGCUGAGUCCCGUGACUCAGAUCAGUGGAUGACUCGCUGAGUUGGGUGAGUGACUCGGUGAGUCAGAAAGGAUUCAAAGGACUCGAGUUCAUGUAUGGAGUCGACGAGUCUAUGCAAUACUCGACGAGUCGGGUCAAAGGUUGACCGUUGACCAGGGUUGACUAGUGUUGACUUAAUAGCAUUAGUCAAACUAAGCCAUGAAAGUAUUAAUUAGAGAUGUAAUUAUGAUAUAGGAGGACGAUAGGUCGGGGAAUCGAGCACGGGUGAUUAUCCGACAUCAAGCGAGGUGACUCUUCUCACUAUGUCAUACCCGAUGGGGUGAUUAUGUGUGACCGAAAGGUCUUAUGUGUAUGAUGUUUAUGUGAUGCAUGUUAUAUAUGUGAUACGUUAUGAUAUGAGUAUGAUGAUAUGGACCGGAAGGUCAAUAGAGUAUGGGCCGGAAGGUCAACAGAUUUAUGGGAUGGAAAUCCCCUGAGACACUUGGAUCGGAAGAUCCUAUAGAGUUAUGGCCCGGAAAGGCGUAGGUGUUGUAUGUGGUAUUUUGGGGAACUCACUAAGCAUUUAUGCUUACCAUUUGUGUGUUAUGUGUUUCAGGUACUAGUGAUGAUCGUGGGAAGGCGUCGGCAUGAUUAGUACACACUUGCAGAUGAUAUGUUUUUGAGAUCUUGGGAUAUGGAGUAUGUAUUGUGUUUUGUGGAAAUAUUGGAUACAUGAUUUUGGAAUGAUUUGAAAAUGAAAUGUUUUUACUAAAAAUUUAAAUAAAAAAUUGCUUGAAAUUUCGCGGUGUUACAUUAUGUUUCCUUCCCUAGUGACGUAGUAGCCCAGGAGUUGUCCUUCUUGUGUCACGAAUGUGCAUUUCGUGGGGUUUAGCUUCAUUUGUGAUUUCUCUAACGUUUUAAGAGUUUCAUCAAAAUCUCGUGACAAAGUCGUUUCGUUCUUGCUUUUUAUGACCAUGUCUUCGACGUAUACCUCAACGCUUCGUCCAAUUUGGUUUUGGAAAAUCUUAUCGACCAAUGAUUGGUAGGCAGCCCUGGCAGUCUUGAGUCUGAUGUGCAUUUUUUGAUAGCAGAAAGCUCCAUGAUUAGUGUAGAAUGUUAUUUUAUCUUCGUCUUCCUUUUGCAUCCAUAUCUGGUAGUAUCCUUUGUAUGCGUUCAGAAAGCAUUUCCAUUUCAAACCCUCCAGCGACUCUACUUUCUGAUCUAUCUUGGGGAGCUGGUAGUAAUCUUUUGGGCAAGCUUUAUUGAGAUCUGUGUAGUCUACGCACAUUCUCCAGCUUUCGUUGUGUUUUCGAACCAUGAUUGGGUUGGCUAUCUAGGAGGGAAAGAUGGCCUCCCUGAGAAUGCUUGCUCGGAUGAUUUUUUCUACCUUUAUGUUUAUUACUUUGUUUCGGUCUCCAGCAUAGCCUCUCAUUUUUUGUUUUACUACCGUGUUGCCAGGUUUGACAUUCAUAUUGUGCUCUAUCACUUCUCGGCUUAUCCUAACCUUGUCUGUUUGUUCCCAUGCGAAAACGUGUUUGUAUUUUCGUAUCAGGUUGAGUAGUUUUCCUCUUGUCUGGUAGGGCGGUGUAGAACCUAUUCCAGCCUUCUGAUCCAGGUAUCUCCGUGUAUCACAUCUUUCAUUUUUGGUUCUUCUUCCCUUUGUCGCUUUUCGCCCCUUUGUGAUUUCUUAGGGUUUCAUAACUUGAUUGCACUCAAGGGGCUUCUUCAUGAUGGCCCUUGCGUUUUCCAUGCCUAUUCUUGUGGGGGAUUUGAUGAAGCCAUGAACGGUUGGUGCAACAGCUCCAAAUCGAAGAAUUAUUGUUCAUCCAAGGAUUAUGUUGUGCUUGGAUGUUGCCCGAACAAUGAUGAAGUGUAGUAAUAUUGUCUUCCUUAUUGCAUUAUUCUCAUAUUCUAGUGAGAAAGGUAGGAUGAUCGCGUCGAAUGGUGUGACAUUAUGUCCUGUGAAGCCUGCUAAUAUGCCUGGUGAUGGUUCCAUCAUCUCCCUCCAUUAGGGGAGGGGAAUUGUCUGAAGCAAUGUUUGAACAUGAUAUAUGUCACGCUUCCUCCGUCGAUGUAAACUUUGUGGAUUUUGUUAUUUUUUAUUCGAGCUUGUACUAUUAGAGGGUCAUCUCACCCCCAAUUCGGGGGAACAUAGUCGUGUGGUGAGAACUAUAGAUUUGUACCCUUUGGGGUUAAUAUGGUUGUUCUUGGCACUUUUGUUUGGUGCUGGAUCCGAAUGGCGAGUAUCUCUGACCUUUUUUCUGUGAUUUUUAGUUCUUCUUUGAUUGGUCUGGCUGCUAGCUCGACUGUGUUGUUUCGUUCCCUUAGAGUUCUGGUUAUUUCUUUGGGCUCCCCUUGACGGAUGCAUUCAUCUCAUUCUUUAUUUAGGAUGCUACAGUCGGUUGUAUCGCUGCCACGAACGUUUGUGGAACUCGUAAUAUUUUGACGUAUCAGGCGACCUAUCUAGAAAUUUUUAGGUGUUUUUUGUUUUUUCGUUGAUGGCCAGUAUGUUCGGGGGCCUAUGUCGCUUGUCAUCCCUUUGGUAUGGUUGAUAGGGACUGUGGAAGAGUCCUCUUCUGCUUCCAUAACCUCGCUUAGAUUGGUUGUUGUUAUAGUUGUCCCUUGGCUUUCCCUUCUGGGAGGUGGCUGCCUUCAAAUAUGCUUCCUUUGCUAUUGUGCCUUCUUCCUGUCGCAAGUAUUUUUGGACUCACUCAUUCAUUUCAUGUCUGGUCGUCGGCAUCUUCCCAAGAAAAUUUUUGGACAAUGUUCCAGGCAGAAGACUAUGGCCUCGUUUGUUUUUCUACAAAAGUACUUUUUGAGCACUUUUCCCUUCUGGUGGGUAGACGUUUCGCAAGUGCACGUCUUCUUCCGCAAAAUUGGAAAAAGACAAAAGACAUUUAACCACUUCCAAAACAAACAGCACCUAUGUGUGAAGGCUCCGAUGACAAGAUGGUCGCUCUGCCCUGGAACAUAUAGUGUGGCUUCAUUAAAGCGUUUGAAGUGGUCCCUUAUCAAAUCUCCUUCAUGUUGCUUAUAACCAAUGAUUUCUCGUACACCCCCCUGUAUUUUCUUAAUUGCAUGAAGUUGGUGAGGAAUAAUUCUUUCAACUCCAUGAAACUUUGGAUACUAUUUGGUGCUAGAUUUUUGAACCAAACCCCUGCGUUUCCAUCUAGGGUGGUUGGAAAGUGUGUGCACCAAAAUCGUGUAUCUAGCUUUAGUGAUUGCAUGUGUCAUUCGUAUGCAUCUAUUUGGCUAUCUAGACAAGUUGUUCCAUUAUAUAUUUUAGGUGAGGGAGUUUGGUUGUAGUGGGCAUGUCAUAUUCAUGUAGUUCUGGUACAAAUGGUGAUGUAUGUUGAUCUGAUGGGGUUGCGUGGUUGUUUACUUGGUUUUGUAGAAAGGUUGUUUGUUGGAAUAUGGAGAAAUUUGGAUGGUGUGCGUUAUUUAACAUGUUGGUGAAUGUUGGGAAUGAUUGUGCAUGAACAUUAUAAAAUGGUAUGUUGGAGUAUAUAAAGGGCGUACCAAACUGAACUGGUGAGGUGAACGUUUUUUUGUGAAUUAUUUGCCAUGCUUAUGAAUGGUGCAGCCACGGACGGUCGCGCCAUCGGUGUUGUGUAGAUCGGUUGGAAAGUCGGUAUUGGUUGCGCAUGCAUGUAAGGUUGCAUUCUUAUCUGUGGCGGUGUAAACGGUGGUGAGUUACCGGAGAGUAGUGAAAUUGGUAUUUGUGUCAUGUUUGGGGUGAAGCUAUUGUGGGUUGACUGUUGUUUACUUAUCGGAAUGAAUGGAGGUACCUAUAACUGCUUUAUCGACAUUCCUGAUGUAGGAGCAUAUGCGAUGACAGGGGUGGUCGUCCGACUUGUUUAAGUAGUGACUGGGUCAAGGGAUGGCAUUGGUCGGACAUGGAUUUGCAUCAUGUUUCCAAUAGCUCCUUCUCUGUCGUUUUCCGCGAUCGAGGUUUAGGGUUUGAAGCUUUUAGUAUUGUUGUCUCAACAAUCAGAUAACACCAAUGAUUUGAUAUUGGACCUUUGGGAUGACGGUGAUAGUUCGUUUGGAUGAGAUCCGAUGGAGAUCUAAAAUCACAACAGGAAAUAGGCCAUCAGCCGAUCUCCGGAAGGAGGUCCCGAGAGAGCGCUCUGAUGGUCAAGUCAAUCUCAGAGAGAGAAGAGUGUAUUGCGUAAGACUUAGAGAAUGUGGGUUCAACCUCUUUACCGUUGGAAGCACAUGGUCUUUUAUAGUGGGGUGUUGGGCGUGGAUCCCACUCGUGGAGAUAGAAAUAUCAGGCCCCGAUCAGGAUAGUGGAGUUGAUUGGUAGGUCGUACAUUUGUUCCCUAUCCGAGUCGUGAUUGGCUUAACCAUGAUAGUGGUGCGUACACAUUCACUGGGAUUACCAAGUGUCUACUUGUCGUCUAUCGACUUUCAUAAUAUAUGAUAUAUGAUAAACCUUUAAAAUAAUUUUUAAUUCGAAGAACGAAAAUUUGCAGGUCUUAUUUUUUAUAAAAAGUCAAACUCAUUUAACAAAACUUUUGUAUCCNNNNNNNNNNNNNNNNNNNNNNNNNNNNNNNNNNNNNNNNNNNNNNNNNNNNNNNNNNNNNNNNNNNNNNNNNNNNNNNNNNNNNNNNNNNNNNNNNNNNNNNNNNNNNNNNNNNNNNNNNNNNNNNNNNNNNNNNNNNNNNNNNNNNNNNNNNNNNNNNNNNNNNNNNNNNNNNNNNNNNNNNNNNNNNNNNNNNNNNNNNNNNNNNNNNNNNNNNNNNNNNNNNNNNNNNNNNNNNNNNNNNNNNNNNNNNNNNNNNNNNNNNNNNNNNNNNNNNNNNNNNNNNNNNNNNNNNNNNNNNNNNNNNNNNNNNNNNNNNNNNNNNNNNNNNNNNNNNNNNNNNNNNNNNNNNNNNNNNNNNNNNNNNNNNNNNNNNNNNNNNNNNNNNNNNNNNNNNNNNNNNNNNNNNNNNNNNNNNNNNNNNNNNNNNNNNNNNNNNNNNNNNNNNNNNNNNNNNNNNNNNNNNNNNNNNNNNNNNNNNNNNNNNNNNNNNNNNNNNNNNNNNNNNNNNNNNNNNNNNNNNNNNNNNNNNNNNNNNNNNNNNNNNNNNNNNNNNNNNNNNNNNNNNNNNNNNNNNNNNNNNNNNNNNNNNNNNNNNNNNNNNNNNNNNNNNNNNNNNNNNNNNNNNNNNNNNNNNNNNNNNNNNNNNNNNNNNNNNNNNNNNNNNNNNNNNNNNNNNNNNNNNNNNNNNNNNNNNNNNNNNNNNNNNNNNNNNNNNNNNNNNNNNNNNNNNNNNNNNNNNNNNNNNNNNNNNNNNNNNNNNNNNNNNNNNNNNNNNNNNNNNNNNUUUUGCUUUCUUGAAUUUGGAUAAAAAAAAGUUUUCGUUAUAUUUUAUAUUUUAUAAAAAUAAUAUUUCUUAAAACUAAAAAAUAAACACCUUCAAAUUUUAUUUAAAAAAAAAAUCUUUUUAGAAAGUCACUAGAAUAAUGAGAAGAAAUUAUCCUUUAAAUUUUUAUGAUUUUUUUCUAGGUGUUUUAAUAAAAAAAAAUAGAAACUAAAAAAAUAAAUUUUUAUUUCAAAUUUUCAUGAUUAUGUUCAUUUAUUAGUGAAUUAAAUUUUAAAAAGUUUGGUUUAUUAAGAAUUUUUUUCCAAUGAUUUUUUUUAGCUAAAAACAAAAUUGGUGGAAUAAAAGUACUAUGUAACAUAGAGCAGAGAGAAUGUGGCGGUGUAAACGGUGGUGAGUUACCGGAGAGUAGUGAAAUUGGUAUUUGUGUCAUGUUUGGGGUGAAGCUAUUGUGGGUUGACUGUUGUUUACUUAUCGGAAUGAAUGGAGGUACCUAUAACUGCUUUAUCGACAUUCCUGAUGUAGGAGCAUAUGCGAUGACAGGGGUGGUCGUCCGACUUGUUUAAGUAGUGACUGGGUCAAGGGAUGGCAUUGGUCGGACAUGGAUUUGCAUCAUGUUUCCAAUAGCUCCUUCUCUGUCGUUUUCCGCGAUCGAGGUUUAGGGUUUGAAGCUUUUAGUAUUGUUGUCUCAACAAUCAGAUAACACCAAUGAUUUGAUAUUGGACCUUUGGGAUGACGGUGAUAGUUCGUUUGGAUGAGAUCCGAUGGAGAUCUAAAAUCACAACAGGAAAUAGGCCAUCAGCCGAUCUCCGGAAGGAGGUCCCGAGAGAGCGCUCUGAUGGUCAAGUCAAUCUCAGAGAGAGAAGAGUGUAUUGCGUAAGACUUAGAGAAUGUGGGUUCAACCUCUUUACCGUUGGAAGCACAUGGUCUUUUAUAGUGGGGUGUUGGGCGUGGAUCCCACUCGUGGAGAUAGAAAUAUCAGGCCCCGAUCAGGAUAGUGGAGUUGAUUGGUAGGUCGUACAUUUGUUCCCUAUCCGAGUCGUGAUUGGCUUAACCAUGAUAGUGGUGCGUACACAUUCACUGGGAUUACCAAGUGUCUACUUGUCGUCUAUCGACUUUCAUAAUAUAUGAUAUAUGAUAAACCUUUAAAAUAAUUUUUAAUUCGAAGAACGAAAAUUUGCAGGUCUUAUUUUUUAUAAAAAGUCAAACUCAUUUAACAAAACUUUUGUAUCCNNNNNNNNNNNNNNNNNNNNNNNNNNNNNNNNNNNNNNNNNNNNNNNNNNNNNNNNNNNNNNNNNNNNNNNNNNNNNNNNNNNNNNNNNNNNNNNNNNNNNNNNNNNNNNNNNNNNNNNNNNNNNNNNNNNNNNNNNNNNNNNNNNNNNNNNNNNNNNNNNNNNNNNNNNNNNNNNNNNNNNNNNNNNNNNNNNNNNNNNNNNNNNNNNNNNNNNNNNNNNNNNNNNNNNNNNNNNNNNNNNNNNNNNNNNNNNNNNNNNNNNNNNNNNNNNNNNNNNNNNNNNNNNNNNNNNNNNNNNNNNNNNNNNNNNNNNNNNNNNNNNNNNNNNNNNNNNNNNNNNNNNNNNNNNNNNNNNNNNNNNNNNNNNNNNNNNNNNNNNNNNNNNNNNNNNNNNNNNNNNNNNNNNNNNNNNNNNNNNNNNNNNNNNNNNNNNNNNNNNNNNNNNNNNNNNNNNNNNNNNNNNNNNNNNNNNNNNNNNNNUUUUGCUUUCUUGAAUUUGGAUAAAAAAAAGUUUUCGUUAUAUUUUAUAUUUUAUAAAAAUAAUAUUUCUUAAAACUAAAAAAUAAACACCUUCAAAUUUUAUUUAAAAAAAAAAUCUUUUUAGAAAGUCACUAGAAUAAUGAGAAGAAAUUAUCCUUUAAAUUUUUAUGAUUUUUUUCUAGGUGUUUUAAUAAAAAAAAAUAGAAACUAAAAAAAUAAAUUUUUAUUUCAAAUUUUCAUGAUUAUGUUCAUUUAUUAGUGAAUUAAAUUUUAAAAAGUUUGGUUUAUUAAGAAUUUUUUUCCAAUGAUUUUUUUUAGCUAAAAACAAAAUUGGUGGAAUAAAAGUACUAUGUAACAUAGAGCAGAGAGAAGAUGGCGGUGUAAACGGUGGUGAGUUACCGGAGAGUAGUGAAAUUGGUAUUUGUGUCAUGUUUGGGGUGAAGCUAUUGUGGGUUGACUGUUGUUCACUUAUCGGAAUGAAUGGAGGUACCUAUAACUGCUUUAUCGACAUUCCUGAUGUAGGAGCAUAUGCGACGAUAGGGGUGGUCGUCCGACUUGUUUAAGUAGUGAUUGGGUCAAGGGAUGGCAUUGGUCGGACAUGGAUUUGCAUCAUGUUUCCAAUAGCUCCUUCUCUGUCGUUUUCCGCGAUCGAGGUUUAGGGUUUGAAGCUUUUAGUAUUGUUGUCUCAACAAUCAGAUAACACCAAUGAUUUGAUAUUGGACCUUUGGGAUGACGGUGAUAGUUCGUUUGGAUGAGAUCCGAUGGAGAUCUAAAAUCACAACAGGAAAUAGGCCAUCAGCCGAUCUCCGGAAGGAGGUCCCGAGAGAGCGCUCUGAUGGUCAAGUCAAUCUCAGAGAGAGAAGAGUGUAUUGCGUAAGACUUAGAGAAUGUGGGUUCAACCUCUUUACCGUUGGAAGCACAUGGUCUUUUAUAGUGGGGUGUUGGGCGUGGAUCCCACUCGUGGAGAUAGAAAUAUCAGGCCCCGAUCAGGAUAGUGGAGUUGAUUGGUAGGUCGUACAUUUGUUCCCUAUCCGAGUCGUGAUUGGCUUAACCAUGAUAGUGGUGCGUACACAUUCAUUGGGAUUACCAAGUGUCUACUUGUCGUCUAUCGACUUUCAUAAUAUAUGAUAUAUGAUAAACCUUUAAAAUAAUUUUUAAUUCGGAGAACGAAAAUUUGCAGGUCUUAUUUUUUAUAAAAAGUUCAACUCAUUUAACAAAACUUUUGUAUCCUUAUAUAUNNNNNNNNNNNNNNNNNNNNNNNNNNNNNNNNNNNNNNNNNNNNNNNNNNNNNNNNNNNNNNNNNNNNNNNNNNNNNNNNNNNNNNNNNNNNNNNNNNNNNNNNNNNNNNNNNNNNNNNNNNNNNNNNNNNNNNNNNNNNNNNNNNNNNNNNNNNNNNNNNNNNNNNNNNNNNNNNNNNNNNNNNNNNNNNNNNNNNNNNNNNNNNNNNNNNNNNNNNNNNNNNNNNNNNNNNNNNNNNNNNNNNNNNNNNNNNNNNNNNNNNNNNNNNNNNNNNNNNNNNNNNNNNNNNNNNNNNNNNNNNNNNNNNNNNNNNNNNNNNNNNNNNNNNNNNNNNNNNNNNNNNNNNNNNNNNNNNNNNNNNNNNNNNNNNNNNNNNNNNNNNNNNNNNNNNNNNNNNNNNNNNNNNUGCUUUCUUGAAUUUGGAUAAAAAAAAGUUUUCGUUAUAUUUUAUAUUUUAUAAAAAUAAUAUUUCUUAAAACUAAAAAAUAAACACCUUUGAAUUUUAUUUAAAAAAAAUCUUUUUAGAAAGUCACUAGAAUAAUGAGAAGAAAUUAUCCUUUAAAUUUUUAUGAUUUUUUUCUAGGUGUUUUAAUAAAAAAAAAUAUAAACUAAAAAAAUAAAUUUUUAUUUCAAAUUUUCAUGAUUAUGUUCAUUUAUUAGUGAAUUAAAUUUUAAAAAGUUUGGUUUAUUAAGAUUUUUUUUCCAAUGAUUUUUUUUUUUAGCUAAAAACAAAAUUGGUGGAAUAAAAAUACUAUGUAACAUAGAACAGAGAGAAGAUGUAGAAGGCUGACCGUUUUUUUUUUUUUUUUUUUUUUUUAAAAAACUGUCAAAUUGGUCCCUGUGGUUUGCAAAAAACUUUGGAUAAUCAAGAAUUUUUUUUGGUUUUGGUCCUUGAAAAUAUGAAAGGACUAUUUUGUCCUUAUUAUUUAUUUUUCACAUUUUUUUAUUUGUUUUAACUGUUUUAUAACUAAAAAAAGCAAAAGAAAAGAAAAAUAGAAGGAAGAGUCCACCCACUCUCUCUCUCACACACACAAAUAACAUGAAAAAAAAUCCCGGAUUGCAAUGAAAUAAUAGUUUGACACAAUGAGCUCCUCAUCAACGGUUGAUAACAUCUUUCAUUAUCAACCAUAUAUCUUCAUUUACAACACAUCUUCUUGUUGAAACACUGUAUAUCUUCAUAUGUUCAUCGAUGAUCUUCACAAAAAAGAUCUACCGUUCUUCAUAGGUUCAUCAGCUCAAAUCCCAGAUAUUCAUCAUCAUCUUCUUCGAAAACCAUUUCGAUUAUCUUUAUGCAAAACAAAAUCUGGUUUCAUAAUCGAAUCCCAAAAUAACUAGAUUCAACAAAGAUAUGUCCUUCCAUUUUCGUUUAUGUUUAAAACUAAAUCAUCACACUCAUAAACAAAAUUAUUACCUAGAUGUAUUUUUUUCGAAAACAAAUCCUAUCAGAAAGAGAAAACACGAACCUCCAUCCAUCAAGCACAAUUUUCCUUCACAGAAUCGGGCAUGAAAACCCUGAAAUCCGACCUUUAAAACCCAGAAAAUACACAUUUAAAGAUAUUCAUGUUCAUCAUCUGAAAUUGGACCUUGAAACCCAUGAAAUCGGACCUUGACACCCUUAAAAUCGGAACUUGAAAACCCUAAAAUUGGAAUAUAUGAAAUCAAAUUGUUGGUCUUACCUUCAUCAUAUGGGAACGUGAGUACAGAGGAAGACGCAGAUGCUUAGGAGUUGGGUUAUGUUCUUCGACAAUAAUUCAUUGAUUAGUUGUCACGGGAAAAAGAAAAUGGCAGAGGGGGUAGGUUUAGUGUGGUGAUAGUUGAAGGCGGCAUCGAUAUCUAAAACUACUUGGGGAUGAGGUGGAGAACAGGGGAGAAGCUAGAGAGGGAGGAAAUGGACAUGAGGUGAUAAUCGGUGGUAGUUGUGGUGUUGCCGGAAAUAGAGGUGUAUAUGAAUGGAGAUGNNNNN